UAGAGCUAAACGAGUGCUGCUGCCGCCGCUGCUGCUGUGUAGUGUAACCUUGAGUUCAGUUCAGUCGGGUUCAGUCUAGUCUCUCCCUGCAUCUGUGUAUACAGCUGAAAAAUGAAGGGGAAAACAAACUGCAGGCCCCUGCUUGCUAGCUAGUGAUUUCCCUUCCCUUGUAGCUUCCCUCCCGUGUUCAGAAAUGGGUCAAGAACAAAAGCAAAAAAAAAAAAGAUCAUGUGUAAUCUAUGAUGAGAUGGUAAUCAGGUCCAACGCUAGACCUUUUCUCAAGUGCUUCUCUCUUUUGGAUUGCUUCCACUGUGUUUUUUCCUGAUUUUGUGCACGAUUCUUCACUGACUGUGAUUGCCAUGAAGGGCUUAAAAUAGAAGGUGAGAGAGAUCGCUUUGGUUGAUUCUGCCAUCAAGAGCUUAACAUGGAAGUGAUUGAUCAAGAAGGUUUCCGAGGGAGAUCCCUUUGUCCGAUUUGGCCAUCAAGAGCUUAAAUCGGAAGUGAAUUGAUCAAGAAGGUAUCCGGCAGAGAUCACUCUGUCCUCUGCGCAUAAGAGGAAAACACCUUUAUUGAGCAAGAUACCUAUGUACAACAGGUAGUAGAGGCGAACAAGAAGCUGCUUUUAGAUUCAUCUCCGAUAGAGGCCUAGGUUGUUUGUUUCAGCUUUAGACGAAAGAUUCUAGAAGGAAAAAUCAAUCUAGAUUCGGACCAUUCUCAAUGCAAUUGCCUAAAGCACGUCCAAGUUUACUUCAGUCGCGAAGCAAAACCCCAUAUGAUUCGAAGCCAAUUGAAGCUGAAACAAACAGGGCCAGAGCCCUGCAUUCUCCAUGCCUCUCUUUUUGAAUGAGCGGUUGCAUCACAGGCAUGGCAGCUUGGAAAUACAGGCAUUCUACUUGAUCUUCUAACAACAUUAGGCCUUGUACAAUGUUGGGUGCUUAGAAAAACAAACCGGGUUUUUCUGGCACCAGUGCCUAAUUCUACUUGAGAGACCAAAUAAGCACCGGUGCUUAAAUAAACACUGGUUUAUUUCUCUAUAAGCACCUUCCCUAAACGCCUUGCAUUGUACAAGUCCUUAGCUUACAAUUUAAGAUGCUGCAAGAGUGCAUGUGUCAAUGUAUGGUUGUCUGAAGUGGAAGGAAAGCAAUAAGCAGCAGGAAGGAGAACACUGGCCGUCACGAGAUAUCAACUGUCAGGUAGUACCAAAGUCAAGCCACCCAGCCAAGCACAGCGCAAGUGGAUACUAGUUUGAAUGGGUUAGUGGUCUGCACGUAUGGAGAGAACGAAUUCAGCAGGUCGUUCUUCAAAGUCUACUAUACAUGCCAUGGAUCAAAUAAUAAAGCACUGACGUUUGGCUGCUGGAAGAACUGAUGACCAGGAUUCAACACCUUGAAUUGGAAACGCUUUCAAGCUUUGCCAAAUUGACCAGUGACUCUUGCAAUUGUUCUUUCUCUUUAGUUGCUAAAGGUUUGAGAAAAACAAAAACCAGAUACCGGCUUUUCGAGAAGAAAUGGCUUUCUCUUUGGUUGCUAAAGGUUUGAGAUCGACAAAACCCAGAUGCCGGCAUUUCCAGAAGAAAUGGUGCAUGGUCGGUCAUCCAAUCGUGAGUGAGACAGCCCAAGACUGGCCACUUUCAAUUAUAGGUCGCCUAAAAUGUAAAGAAGUGCACACGUCACAUCACCAUAACACGAGCACAAAGGAUGAAUAGCAGCAACCUCAUGGUUACCAAGAUGAGCAGCAGGUGCAUUUUACAGGACCUCAAAAAUGGGCUGAGCGGGAAAGCCCACCCCCCUCAUCACUACGUUACCAGGCAUAUAUAUAAAUAGGGUCACGCAACCAGGGUACUUGACACACUCGAUUCUGCGGUUACACGGCAGCUACCAUUUAACACAACCAUAGUUAGACAGUAUAACUCACUGUUCCAGCAAUGGGAGGAAGGGGGCAAUCAACCGCAUGGCAACACCAGACUUAAACUUGCUUGUAGAACAGGAUAUACGCUGGGUUAUGCAAGACCUUGUUCACGUUGAUGGGCAUGACAUGGCCGUCAUCGAACCGAAGCCACUGCCCACCGUCACGCUUCGCAUCAGCGGUGUAAUGGCCCCUGGACGGGCCGCUCCCGUGAUGAGUGAUGGUUGCAACAAGCUCGUAUCUUCUACCCUGCACUCGACCAAAGGUGGGAUGUUAGAUGAAGUAAUCAAUGUGUAUCCAAGAAACAGCUGUUACAUCUGAUUUUACAAAGGGUUGCAUAAACGUAUAAAGAAGUCUAAUCCCACACGCUGUGGGACAAAAGUGAUCAAAUAGUAGAUACACCAACUACAAUAAUAAAAUAGAGUAUCAAGGAGAUUAUCACCUCUGAUGAUGGUGAGCUCAGCAGAUCCCGAUUAAGGACCAGUUCAAGAGGGAAGUGGAGUGGCUUGUACAGUUUAGUACACCCACGAUUUCCAUAACUGAACCUCUUCAAGUGCAGUAUCAUUAUCUUUGAAAGUUCGUGUAUCUUGAAUGAUUUCCUAGCUGUCACCACUCCGGCCUGCAAGAUCAAGUUUCAUCAGUCCAUAUUAUAGCUGAUUUCAAAAGGAUAAUAAUUGUGACAAGAAGCAUACUGUUGCGCUGAGGAGGUGUAUAGUACAGAGGUAUAGUUCAACAACCUAGUUUCAGCUUAUAGCGGCAUCAACAGAAUACUAAGAUUUACAUCAAAGAAGGCAACCAACCAACUAAUCAGGUAGUUUAUAAUAUAUAAUGCAUCAGAGGCGAAUGGCGCUAAUGCAGAAUGCAUGAUGUCCCUUAUAUGUAAUAUAAUUCUGAAAUAAUGUAAGCAAAUUCUCUGACAAGCUAAGUAAUUGCAAAAUUCAGGAGUCAAAACUACUGAGCACAGAUUUCAGUAAGAACCUUUCCAGCAGUUGUUCUGUAUCCUUCCAAAGAUUCAGGGGUGGAAAACAGAUGAAGUGCAUCGUCAAGCGUUUGAACAGCAUCUGGAAAUAUAUCAAGAUGGAGCAGCAGGAAAGGCUGAACGGUUGCUGACGCUUUGUUACCUAUAAAUAGAUCCGAAAAGAAGAUACAACAUGAGGGUAAGAAACUGCAUAACUGAAACUCCCUCAAUUUUUGCCAACAACGCUAAUGAUUUCAAUUUACAGUGAGAAUUUGCUUCAGAUAACCGACACGAAUCUAAUGCAGGAUUUCUGACAACAAUGAUAACUUAGCACAAAUGAACAGUUGACGUGUUUUUAUUUAAAGUUCAAGGAUAAGCAAAAAUGACUUUUCCUUGACAGCACUUCUGCAUGUUUAAGAAACAUCAUUUCUAUUAUAAGCUAAGGUACUACUAUUUCCACAGAAAACUUUACACAAGCACAAAUAUAGCUAGAAUCAGGAGACAAAACCUUUCCAAAAGGGCAUCUAGCUGAUAGAUCAGAGUUAAAAGGAAAUGACUGAAAUUUCUCAGCACAAGAAAUAGUUACCUGCAGCUUUCACUACACUUUGCAGCUUGCCUCCAAAAAUAGCACUUAGAUCGGAGGGAACAAAACUAUGCGUUCUCAUGAUUGCAGAUUUGUUCUUCCUACCUACAGUCUCCCAGGCAUCGUCAUCAUCAGAAGAAACAACCAUACCUUCCUUUGAAUUUGAACCAUUGCCAUUAAGCCUCAACAGUUCAUCAUGCAUUCUAUCCAUGGCAAAACUUAGAAACUCUUGGGCAUCUUCUUGUCUGCAGAAAUGCAAAGCAUCAUAAACUGAAUUAUUUUUGUUUUUUAGGGAAGGCCAUCAUGGCUAGCUUUAUCGACUUAAGAUAGGCAUUACAUCGUCCACAAGAUGAGAGACCAGACAGCCCAGAGGCUCAUCCGUACAACUAAGAGAAGUCUUAUUACAAUAACAGAAAUUAGCUAGCACAUGCGCCGCUUGGUUACUAGAACGAAAACAAUGCUUAAAGACGACCUUCCCGAUCGAAGCCCUGUUACUAGGAAAAUAAAAAUUUAACGCAUGAUAUUUACACUAACACAAAAUCAGAGCAGCAUGCAUAAUGUCCAUGCAUUCAAUGCAGCAAAAUAUAUUGUUUGAACAAAUUUCAAGCUAAGAUGGCAUCUAUCUCAGUUUCAUGUUCCACAAAUUUCAAGAAUAAGAUAUUACUGGGAUGCUUCUGAUUCUAGUGCAAGUCAUCAUGCUCAUAAGCAUUAGUUAUAGUUUCAAUGUCAAAUUUGGUUUCCAGUAAAGGACAAACAGGAUACAUUAUGAUACUGAUGGGAUUCAUGUCUUGCUAUACAAAAAAAUGCUAAAAAUAAGCACAAACACGAAAAAAGAAUGCUAUUCUCAAGUAGUACCUAUGACAGCCAAACAAUUAGCGUCACAUUUCAUCAAUUUCACUUAAAAAAAUAAUAACCAAGUACAGCAUCAACAACUUACCUUGGCCGAGCAGAUGUUCCAGCCGGUACAUCUGGAGUAAAAUUUCUCAGAACUUGAUCGAACAUGGUAGGAUUGAUUACUUUUGCAGCGACCAAAGCAAACCUCUCGUCUUUCUUCAUAGUGGACUCGUCAAGUACAUCAAACUGAGAGAGGAGCUCAAUGAAUGCACUCAGAGUAGGGUAGCCAGCCUAAAAUUAGCAGUAGUCAGAACAAAAGCCAGUGAAAUCAGCAGAGAGGACAUUGAAUUGAUUCAUUUACGUAGUAGUACCUUGGGUAUACUCCGGUUCCUCAGGUCUUGUACAAGCUGAACAAAAGGGAAGCAUGAAAGGAAAGCCUGCAAAGUUGCAUUCAGGAAGCAUAUAUUUCCUGUAUUCUUCAAACCAUGAGGAAGCAACGGCUUAUUCUGAUAGGCUUCCUUAUUUAAACUUGUGACUGACUCAUCUGCUGGAGCUGCAAUAAUAGGUGCAUCAGCACCUGUGCUUCCAUUCUCAGUUACUAACAUAGCUGAACUGCUGCUUUCUGUACAUCUGAGACCAUCAUUGUGCGGCCCUAGCCCUUCAAUUGGUGUUGAACUGCUGAUGCUCUUGAUAGGCGCAACUGAAGUAGCCACAGAUUCAGUCUUCUUUACAGUGUUAGCAGGGCCGGGUGAAGGAACUGUAGCUUCAGCCUUCUUCACAUUGUUGACAGGCCCGGGUGAAGGAACCGUAGCUUCAGCCUUCUUCACAUUGUUGACAGGCCUGGGUGAAGGAACCGUAGCUUCAGCCUUCUUCACAUUGUUGACAGGCCCUGGUGAAGGAACUGUAGCUUCAGCCUUCUUCACAUUGUUGACAGGCACAGGUGAUGGAACCGUAGCUUCAGCCUUCUUCACAUUGUUGGCAGGCCUAGCUGAAGGAACCGUAGGUUCAGCCUUCUUCACAUUGUUGGCAGACACAGCUGAAGGGGCCGUGGCUUCAGUCUUCUUUACAUUGUUGGCAGGCCCAGCUGAAGGAGAUGUGGCUUUGGUCUUCUUUACAUUGUUGACAGGCCCAGCUGAAGGAACCGUAGCUUCCUUCUUUACAUUGUUGAUCGGCCCAGGUGAAAGAGCCAGAGCUUCAUUCUUCUUUACAUCGUUGACAGGACGAGCUGAAGGAACUGGAGCUUCAGUCUUCUUUACAUUGUUCACAGGGCCAGCUAAAGCAACCGUUGCUUUGGUCUCCUUUAAAUUGCUGACAGGCCCAGAUGAAGGAACCGAAGCUUCAGACUUCACAUUCUUCAGAAUCCCAUUAUUGGGAGAAACUUCGGCAGGAAAUCCAUUGAACAGCACUGGCCCACCAUUUGGUAAGGUAGAGGUUACGGCUUCCUUCUUACUACUGCCAGCGAGAUCCUUUGUAUGGCCAUAAGUUGGUUUUGGAGAAUGGGCAGAGCCUUCAGUGAUAGCAUUCGACACUUUCUCUAAACUAAGCACAGAAAAAUUCAGUGAUCCAAACUGGAUCUCAGGCAGUUCCCAUGAUUUCUCCUCACUUUUAGUAGGCUGCCCCUGGAACAACUUAGUCUCAUCCUCCGUGAAGGACCCAAACAACACAACCUGCGUUAUACAGAAGAAACUAUGAUGAGUACCUGAAAAACUUUGAGCAGUAAAGCAGCUUGUAUAGCGUCCAAACAACCAUUAUAGCAAGAUAUCAGUGUUAACAUUGCUAGAAAAAGUGUAUCUUUAACCGCUUCUAUACGACUUUCACGCCGGCUGUCUGGCCUAAGGAAACUCAACUCUGGAUCCCAUCUGAUCACACACACUUCCAUAAUGUGUACUCCGCACACCUCCAAGCAACAACACUUAAAAGCACUGAUCGUCUAGGUAACCACCAAAUAAGCCUACAUCAUCAGUGCUACGGCAUCUAGUGCCGCAAGCAUGCUUCACACACGCGGUAGCCUCACAUCAGCCAGGCUAGCCAGUGCUCCAAAACGGCAAAACCGCAUCAAUUCACUCAGGCCACCCAACCAGAAACCGUCCCCGCCGUAAUUAAUGCGGCGCCAGAGCGCGGCGGCAGCAUCGAGGACUAAUUAAACCACGCGAUUAAUCAAUGUGAAUGCGCACGAACGCCCGGGCGAGCGGAUGCAUGGAUGGAUGGGAUGUAUUAUACCUUGUCGGCGCCGCUCAUCUCCGCUGCGGCGAGGGGACCGUGCACUGGGCGGGUGUGGGGGUGGAGCUGACCGCGCGGGGAGCCGCCUGGGAGCAGAGGGAGCCGAGGCGGCGGGCGGGAGACAUCAAAGGGGGCGGCCGGCCGCGGGGGGUGGCGCCUAGAUGCCGGCGGCCGCGCUGCCCUGCCGGCCACAGGAACGGCGCGGCGCGGCGGCGCGGGGGGCUGGGGACGGGGAGGAGGCCGGCGAUCAGCGAGAGGCGCGGCCGGGCGGGGGGGCCGCGGGGCCGGCGGCGGAGGCGAGGGCGUAGGGUUUGGAUUCGGUGUGGUUUAGGCGUGGGGAGAGGGGAGUUGGGAAGGAAGGNNNNNNNNNNNNNNNNNNNNNNNNNNNNNNNNNNNNNNNNNNNNNNNNNNNNNNNNNNNNNNNNNNNNNNNNNNNNNNNNNNNNNNNNNNNNNNNNNNNNNNNNNNNGUUUGGAUUCGGUGUGGUUUAGGCGUGGGGAGAGAGAGGGGGGGGUUGGGAAGGAAGGAAGGGGGCGUGUGGGGGGAGGGCUGGCUGUUGCCUAUGUGGGCGGCGACCCCGUGGUGGGCCGUGCUGCUGGGGUUUUAUGGCCUCGUCCCGCUGCGCCGCGCGGUCUCAUUGGGUGCCUGCGGUGCCGUGCCAUCGUUUUUCCGAAUACAAAAAUUCCUUUCCAUCCUAUUUUCGUCAAAAUUCUCAAAACAAAUCGUUUUUCAAACACAAAAGGCCUCCGGUACAUAAUAAUAAUUCUGCUAAAAAAGUAUACGGUGGUGAUGGUAAUCUCUAAUACCAUGUUGUCACCGUAUAUUGGCAUUUAAUUUGAGGUACCUGUUUCAGCAAGGCGAGAAAAGUGCCUAAAGCUUGUAACUGCGAAUACAAAAUAAACUUAGUUUGUGGUCUUGGUCUCGCAUUGAGUACUCCCUCUGGUCACUUUUACUCCGUGUAUAAGAUUUUUCUAAAGUCGGGCUUCGUAAAGUUUGACCAUAUUUAUAUGAAGAAAAUAUCAACAUCUAUGAUACUAAAAUUAUACAAUAUGAAAAUAAAUUCAUGACGCAUCUAAUGAUACUGGUUUCAUACUAUGAAUGUUGAUGUUUUUUUCUAUAAAGUUGGUCAAACUUUACUAAGUUUGACUUCAGACAAAUCUUAUAUGCGGAGUAAAAAGGACUGGACGGGGUACGUAAGAGGAAGAGUGCUAAAAUGAGCGUGCACAAUUUUUGAAAAUAAAUAUCCAUCUGCACUAAUGCUUUUUAUUUAUAAUAGUUCUUAUUGUGCAUCCGCAAAAGAAAUAUCCGGACUCUUCCAAAGUUUGUUUAUGAGUGCUUAGGUGGUUUAAAUAUAGUUGAGUCAUCUAAUAUUGUCGUGUAUAAGAGCAAGCACACGCUUAAGUUACUAUUAAUAUACAUUUGCUAGGGGUAAACAUAGGAAGGAAAGAAGAGUGGAAGGGCAAAUAACACAACAGGCUGCCCACGUUGGUAUAGUAUAAUAGCAUUGGUAAACUCUUUAUGAUUUUCUAAUUAGUAGUUGGACUGCGAUUAAGUAUCCCUCGGUUAUGGUCGUUCGAAACCUGGAUGGCGAGUUAUGUUGUGCUAUUAAUUUAUCUAAACUUUGGUAGUGUGUUUCUACUACCUAAUUGAACAACACACGUACUAUUACUUUGUUUCAAAGGGUUAGAGUGCAUAAUUAGUUGAUGUAGUUAUUUUUCAUCCCUUCAAUCCAAUUGCUUAGAAGUAUCGUAGUAGAUAGAUAAACUUUUUUAAUGGUAAUGCGCAUAAAAGGCAUGAAUCGUAGCUCGGAAGUACGAGACACGUAAUAGGACAUAUACCAUGACUGUAUAGAGAAGCACCCCGAGGAGGGCUACGAAAUGUUUUGCACGGAGAUAACAGAGCUAAUAGAGAAAUGUAUCAAAUUGACAAACUCGGUAGCACCGGAACAAAAAGGUACAACAUUUCUAACUCUAUAAGAAACUUGGUUUGAAUUGAAUGAAGACAACAACCCUAAGUGCUUGGUAGCACGGGGAAAAAUCUGAGGUAUUGGGGCUUGGAGAUACUGGUAAUUGAUGUGGCUAGAGUGGAUUUUCUAGGACCUUGAGCUUAGUAUCUUUCAUGAAAUUCCAUACCAAAUUACCUUUGUAUGUGCUCCUCUUCAUAGAUCGAUUAUCCCACACUCAAUUUGAAUCUUGUAUUCACCGAAACUUGUAAAGUACACUAGUGUUUGGGGCGCCACCCUGUGGCGCCGCUUAAGAGCAAGUUGUGUAUACGUUUUCAUUUAAAAUAAAUAAAUAGAGUCCUCAGCUCUGUAUAAAAAGGCAUAUUAGAAAAAAAAACCUCACCUUCACCUAAAAAAAGGAAAAAAAAUACUACCGCAGCCUACCAGCGAGUGCCACUUUGCAUAACCCUCCAUUUUGAAAAAUACCAGAGGUCCUCACCUCCAUCUAAAAAGAAAAAAUACAUAUAAAAAAUAAUCCACACCUUUAUCUAAAAAGAAUUUCAAAAGAGUUCUCACCGCGGCCAACCAGCUUGUGCCACGUGGCAUAGCUGGUUGGCCGUCCUUCCCGCGUAGCUUAAUGGGUUUAAAUUCUAGGAGCUUGAUGUGGGCAACAACUUGUAAAUUAUAGGUAGGGGUCACUGUUGAUGUUCCACUUAAAGCCAAUGACUAGGUAUACAAUUAACUCGAUAUAGAUAUUAGUUCUCUCAAUGGUUGUGUCAUAAAUAAUCAAAAAUCCCAAUUAGGGGUAUCCAAGAGAUGCACUCCCCCACCCCUGAAGAUUGAUGACAACACCAUUGAUAUAACCUAAAAGCUUUUUUAUCUCCAUGUUUGUGUGCAUUAUUUGAAAUUUUCUUUUAGAAUGAAAAUGCAUGACUGCAUGUGUUAUUAGGCAUUGUGGAUCAAGCAUAUGACACAUUCCAUCGGAGUGCAUUUGUGGUACAUGGAAGUAAACGAUAAUAUAGCUUGCGAAUAAGGGAUAUCACUUGAAUACAACAUGAAGCGAAGCUAGACACACACAAAGAUGCAAAGACAACAAUCAUGGUCCAAAUAAGAUAAAGGAAAAAAUGUUUGAUGGUGUCCCAGCCGGGGUCUCUCCCCAUGUCGCCUGGUGGGCUGUACUGAGGACCCUAGGUCAGUUCCAUUCUGGGCCACAUUGGGCGGCCCAUGACGAAUUACACGAAGAUUUUGAAAGACUUGGAGUGCAAUCCGAAGAUACGGAACCAUGGAGGACUCUACCUCCACCGAUGUAGCCGACCUAGUUAUGUAGCCCUAGGCCCCCCGAUAUGUUAUAUAAGUUGGGAACUGGGCUCGUCAAUGGAGAACAUACAAUCCAUUCGUACUUUAUGUGUACUAUGUUCACACCCCAACACGAUAUACACAAAGCAAGACACAGGGUAUUAUCUCCCCCCGUGAGAGCCUGAACCCGGGUAAAACCUUUCACUUGCUACCACCAUGCCAAGUCAUCCUAGCCAGGGUACCCUACCGAGGGAUCUGUCAGAUUUAGCUCCGAUAAUGGUGACCCAUGCAGGUCCUGCUAGGUGAACGCUCAAUGAGAGUUUAGAUCGGUUUCGGCAUGAUCAUCGUGUUGGGGCAAAUGUUCAUCUUUGGCGUCGCCACCUUCAUUGCCGACUCGAUUGGCCACCUCGGGCAAGUCGAGACUUUUUCUCCAAGUCAGGUCAUUGGAUUUGGCAGCAUGGAGCAUGCCGAGGAUUGCCGUGGAGAGCCGAUCUUCUAGGGUUUGGCAUCACGCCAGAUCGACGGGUGGCAGGAAUGAGUUCUCCCGAUCUCGAUGCCAGAUCGGAUAUUGGAGCGGACGGAGGAGGUCAAAUUUUUUGACCCACCAACCACCCAUCUAAUUGCAAACAUCGAAGAUCUCAUGCAUAUCCUUGAAGGUGCUAUCGAGGGAGCAUAAGACAUGGUGGAGGAGAUCGACGAGUGAUUGCUCUCUCAUAAGAGUGGUUGGUAAACCCCAAGUGUAGGGAUGAAGUACCCUAGCAAUAAUUAUUUCCUUAGCAAUGAACCAAAGUUCAUCGAACCAAAAGAAGUUCUUCCAGCAAACGAAGUCAUUUGUACCUACACACAAAAACACAACACAAACUUGUCCCCAACAUAUCAAGAAGGUGUUGGGGAAAGUAGUAAUUACAAAAAAUUUCCUACGCACACGCAAGAUCAUGGUGAUGCAUAGCAACAAGAGGGGAGUGUGGUGUCCACGUACCCUCGUAGACCGAAAGCGGAAGCGUUAGCACAACGCGGUUGAUGUAGUCGUACGUCUUCACGAUCCGACCGAUCCAAGUACCGAACGUACGACACCUCCGAGUUCAGCACACGUUCAGCUCGAUGACGUCCCGCGAACUCCGAUCCAGCAGAGCUUCACGGGAGAGUUCCGUCAGCACGACGGUGUGUUGACGGUGAUGAUGUUGCUGCCGACGCAGGGCUUCGCCUAAGCACCGCUACGAUAUGUUCGAGGUGGAAUAUGGUGGAGGGGGGCACCGCACACGGCUAAGAGAUCAAGAGAUCAUUUGUUGUGUCUAGAGGUGCCCCCUGCCCCCACAUAUAAAGGAGCAAGGGGGGAGGCGGCCGGCCAGGAGGAGGGCGCGCCAAGAGGGGAGUCCUACUCCCACCGGGAGUAGGACUCCUCCUUUUCCUUGUUGGAGUAGGAGAGGGAAGGAAGGGAGAGAGAAGGAGAAGGAAAAAGGGCCCCCCCUCCUUGUCCAAUUCGGACUAGAGGGGGAGGGGGCGCGCGGCUGCCCUGGCCGCCCCUCCUCCUCUCCCACUAAGGCCCAUGAGGCCCAAUUAACUCCCCGAGGGGUUCCGGUAACCCCCCGGUACUGCGGUAAAUGUUCGAAACCUCCCGGAACCUUUCCGGUGUCCGAACUGUUGGGGAACGUAGCAGAAAUUCAAAAUUUUCCUACGUGUCACCAAGAUCAAUCUAGGAGAUGCUAGCAACGAGAGGGGAGGAGUGCAUCUACAUACCCUUGUAGAUCACGAGCGGAAGCGUUCAAGAGAACGGGGUUGAUGGAGUCGUACUCGUCGUGAUCCAAAUCACCGAUGAUCCUAGCGCCGAACGGACGGCACCUCCGCGUUCAACACACGUACGGAGUGGGGACGUCUCCUCCUUCUUGAUCCAGCAAGGGGGGAGGAGAAGUUGAUGGAGAUCCAGCAGCACGACAGCGUGGUGGUGGAAGUAGCGGGAUCCCGGCAGGGCUUCGCCAAGCGCAAGCAGGGAGGAAGAGGUGUCACGGGAGGGAUGGAGGCGCCAGGGCUUGGGGUGCUGCUCCCAUGCGCCUCCCCACUAUAUAGAGGGGUGGAGGGGGCUGGUUUCUUGCCCUCCCAUUGGGGCGUUGGCAAAGGUGGGGGAAAGAAAUCCCAUCAUUUUCCUUCCCCACCGAUUGUUAUCCCCCUUUUUAGGGAUCUUGAUCUUAUCCCUUCGGGAUAUGAUCUUAUUCCUUCUAAGGUGGGAUCUUGGUGCGCCUUGACCAGGGGUGUGGGGCCUUGCCCCCAAUACCACGUUCAUGUGGGUCCCCCCAUGCAGGUGGGCCCCACUUCGGAACCUUCUAGAACCUUCCCGGUACAAUACCGAAAAAUCCCGAACAUUUUCCGGUGGCCAAAAUAGGACUUCCCAUAUAUAAAUCUUUACCUCCGGACCAUUCCGGAACUCCUCGUGACGUCCGGGAUCUCAUCCGGGACUCCGAACAACUUUCGGUUAACCGCAUACUAAUAUCUCUACAACUCUAGCGUCACCGAACCUUAAGUGUGUAGACCCUACGGGUUCGGGAGACAUGCAGACAUGACCGAGACGACUCUCCGGUCAAUAACCAACAGCGGGAUCUGGAUACCCAUGUUGGCUCCCACAUGUUCCACGAUGAUCUCAUCGGAUGAACCACGAUGUCGAGGAUUCAAUCAAUCCCGUAUACAAUUCCCUUUGUCGAUCGGUACGUUACUUGCCCGAGAUUCGAUCGUCGGUAUCCCAAUACCUUGUUCAAUCUCGUUACCGGCAAGUCACUUUACUCGUACCGUAACGCAUGAUCCCGUGGCUAACUCCUUAGUCACAUUGAGCUCAUUAUGAUGAUGCAUUACCGAGUGGGCCCGGAGAUACCUCUCCGUCAUAAGGAGUGACAAAUCCCAGUCUCGAUUCGUGCCAACCCAACAGACACUUUCGGAGAUACCUGUAGUGCACCUUUAUAGCCACCCAGUUACGUUGUGACGUUUGGUACACCCAAAGCAUUCCUACGGUAUCCGGGAGUUGCACAAUCUCAUGGUCUAAGGAAAUGAUACUUGACAUUAGAAAAGCUCUAGCAAACGAACUACACGAUCUUGUGCUAUGCUUAGGAUUGGGUCUUGUCCAUCACAUCAUUCUCCUAAUGAUGUGAUCCCGUUAUCAAUGACAUCCAAUGUCCAUGGUCAGGAAACCAUAACCAUCUAUUGAUCAACGAGCUAGUCAACUAGAGGCUUACUAGGGACAUGUUGUGGUCUAUGUAUUCACACAUGUAUUACGGUUUCCAGUUAAUACAAUUAUAGCAUGAACAACAGACAAUUAUCAUGAACAAGGAAAUAGAAUAAUAACCAUUUUAUUAUUGCCUCUAGGGCAUAUUUCCAACAGUCUCCCACUUGCACUAGAGUCAAUAAUCUAGUUCACAUCACCAUGUGAUUAACACUCAAAGUUCACUAGAGUCAAUAAUCUAGUCCACAUCACCAUGUGAUUAACACUCAAUGAGUUCUAGGGUUUGAUCAUGUUAUGCUUACGAGAGAGGUUUUAGUCAACGGGUCUGCAACAUUCAGAUCCGUGUGUGCUUUACAAAUCUCUAUGUCAUCCUGUAGAUGUAGCUACCACGCGCUACUUGGAGCUAUUCCAAAUAACUGCUCUACUAUACGAAUCCGGUUUACUACUCAGAGUCAUCCGGAUUAGUGUCAAAGUUUGCAUCGACGUAACCCUUGACGACGAACUGUUUUACCACCUCCAUAAUCGAGAAAAUUCCUUAGUCCACUAGAUACUAAGGAUAAGUUCGACCGCUGUCAUGUGAUCCAUUCCCGGAUCACUAUUGUACCCCUUGACUAACUCAUGGCAAGGCACACUUCAGGUGCGGUACACAGCAUAGCAUACUGUAGAGCCUACGUCUAAAGCAUAGGGGACGACCUUCGUCCUUUCUCUCUCUUCUGUCGUGGUCAGGUCUUGAGUCUUACUCAAUACUCACACCUUGUAACACAUCCAAGAACUCCUUCUUUGCUGAUCUAUUUUGAACUCCUUCAAAAUCUUGUCACGGUAUGUAUUCAUUUGAAAGUACUAUUAAGCAUUUUUGAUCUAUCCUUAUAGAUCUUGAUGCUCAAUGUUCAAGUAGCUUAAUCCAGGUUUUCCAUUAAAAAACACUUUUCAAAUAACCCUGGAUGCUUUCCAGAAAUUCUACAUCAUUUCUGAUCAACAAUAUGUUAACAACAUAUACUCAUCAAAAAUUCUAUAGUGCUCCCACUCACUUCUUUGGAAAUACAAGUUUCUCAUGAACCUUGUAUAAACCCAAAAUCUUUGAUCAUCUCAUCAAAGCGUUCAUUCCAACUCCGAGAUGCUUACUCCAAUCCUUAGAAGGAUUGCUGGAGCUUUGCAUACUUGUUAGCAUCUUUCAGGAUUGACAAAACCUUCUGGUUGUAUCACAUACAACCUUUCCUCAAGAAAAUCGUCGAGGAAACAAUGUUUUGACAUCCUAUCUGCAAGAUUUCAUAAAUAAUGCAGUAACUGCUAAUAUAAUUCUAACAGACUCUUAGCAUCGCUACGAGUGAGAAAGUCUCAUCGCAGUCAACUCCUUGAACUUGCCGGAAAACAUCUUAACGACAAGUCGAGCUUUCUUAAUGGUGACACUUACCAUCAUUGUCUGUCUUCCCUUUAAAAUCCAUCUGUACCCAACAGCCUUACGACCAUCAACUAGUUCUUUCAAAGUCUAUACUUUGUUUUCAUACAUGGAUUCUCUCGGAUUUUAUGGCCUCAAGCCAUUCGUCGGAAUCCGGGCCCACCAUCGCUUCUCCAUAGCUCGUAGGUUCAUUGUUGUCUAGCAACAUGACUUCCAAGACAGGAUUACGUACCACUCUGAAGUAGUACGCAUCCUUGUCGUCCUAUGAGGUUUGGUAGUGACUUGAUCUGAAGUUUCAUGAUCACUAUCAUAAGCUUCCACUUCAAUUGGUGUAGGUGCCACAGGAACAACUUCCUGUGCCCUGCUACACAUUAGUUGAAGUGACGGUUCAAUGACCUCAUCAAGUCUCCACCAUCCUCCCACUCAAUUCUUUCGAAAGAAACUUUUCCUCGAGAAAGGACCCGUUUCUAGAAACAAUCACUUUUGCUUCCAGAUAUGAAAUAGGAGGUAUACCCAACUGUUUUGGGUAUUCUAUGAAGAUGCAUUUAUCCGCUUUGGGUUCGAGCUUAUCAGCCUGAAACUUUUUCACAUAAGCGUCGCAGCCCCAAACUUUUAAGAAACGACAGCUUAGGUUUCUCUAAACCAUAGUUCAUACGGUGUCGUCUCAACGAAAUUGCGUGGUGCCCUAUUUAAAGUGAAUGCGGUUGUCUCUAAUGCCUAACCCAUAAACGAUAGUUGUAAUUCGAUAAGAGACAUCAUGGUAUGCACCAUAUCCAAUAGGGUGCAGUUAUGAUGUUCGGACACACCAUCACAAUAUGGUGUUCGAGGCGGUAUUAGUCGUGAAACAAUUUCCACAAUUUUUUAAUUGUGUGCCAAACUCGUAACUCAGAUAUUCAUCUCUACUAGUAAAACGCCCGUGCGUUGCCACGGGCUUUUGAAAACAUUUAAGAUGCUACUCACGGAGCUAAAAUAACCAAGAAUAAUGCCGUCUCAACUAACUCACAUCUUUUUCUUGACAAUCAGCUAACACACAUCAUACUAUCAUACUAUCGAAGCCUUCCCCACCUUCGACUAUCAGUUGGCCAUUCACAAGAGGGCGGCGGGCGCGGGCGCUAGACUUGGUCAUGUACAGCGUUGCGACAGCCGAAGAUCGAGUUGGACGUGGGGGUGUAAGGAGGGAAACAAGCACGCAAGGAGCAGCGGCAUUGCGACGGGCAGUCGUGCCACGGCCUUUACCUUUUCCCGGGCAACAACCAGAGGCCACAACGCUCCUCGGCUCUCCCUCCUCUCUUCCAUGCCUGGCAACAAGAUGGGUGAGAUAGAGAGGAGGCAACCAAGAUGUUUUUCUAUAUGGCGACCAAGAUGCUUUUGUUUACUCGUGCCACGGAUUCCUUACAACCCCACCCUCGAGCGAAAAAUUAUCUCUUCUUUCCAAAUUUAUCUUCUUUUGCUGCUUGGUUUUUCAUUAUUCUCGUCAAACAAGAAUUGCCUUGGUAUAUAACCUUGUCAAACUAAUAUCAUACACUUUUAUGGAUCCACUAAUAUGAGUUCAUCAUUAUUUCAUUACUAAAAAGGAUGGAACUCUAAAAUGUUAAACAGCAUGCUACACCAAAUAAUGUGAAACUGAUUGUAUAAUCAAACAAUUUAAUUCAAAAUUAUAAGAUCUUAGGCAUUUAAUUACAAAACCAAUGUGUUUGUGUUGAAUGUUAUGUUUGAUCACUUUUGCAACCAAGUUCUUCUUGAUAUAUGUACACCAAUUUUAAAGCAAAUGUAGAGUAGCAGAAACAACCAUUUCUCCCCUUUUCCUUCUUCUAGAAAUCCAGUAAUAGACUAAUGAUAUAGACUGCUCUGUUUCCUUUAGAUGUAGGGUCCUCCUUAAUUAUGAUGUAGGGUCUCGUCGGGCCAUCGAAGCCCCUCCGUCGUCACUCCCUCCCCCAUAACUACAUCCUCCUCCUUGAGUCACCGUGCCAACCCCAUCGCGCGUCAGUCUGAGCGCCCGGCAGUUCCCGAGCGUUACUCACCCGGCCUCAUGAUGCGCGACUCCGUCACCAGCAUGUCACCAGCAUGCCCUUGCACCACCUCAUGCAUGCCUCCUUCACCGACCAACAGCGGCCACGGACGAGGUCAACAGGCACUAAGCCCUUGACCACCAUUGCGUGCGCUGCUCUCCCUGCAACAGUGUAUCAAUCUUCAAAAUGGUGUAUCAAUUAGCUCCGGUGUUCUACUUAUGGCUGGAAAAAAUUGUCUUUGAUUUUUUAUUUUGACCCGAUUGAAAUUAAGUGGUUGCAAUGAAAAAGGAAAUUGAAUUAGAUUACUUCACUAUCAUACUACUAAUCUAUUCUAAGUAGAUUCAAAGAUAAUAUAAUAGAAAUACUCUAAAGUACCAAAUUCUUCAAAAACACACAUAAGAGAAACUUAGAUAACUGUGAGCUCCAAAUGCCUGAACAACGAAUCAAAAUUAUAGAAUAUGCACAAGCAUGAGCACAAAAACACAAUUUAUGGAGCCUAGGAAAGGUUUCAUGGAGCAAAAAUAUUCUAUUCUACAUAAUGAUCUUUGCUCCUUGGGACUCAUUUAUACGGGUUUUUGCUUUGCUCUGACCUAGCAUGCUGACCAGUCCCCCAUAUUUNNNNNNNNNNNNNNNNNNNNNNNNNNNNNNNNNNNNNNNNNNNNNNNNNNNNNNNNNNNNNNNNNNNNNNNNNNNNNNNNNNNNNNNNNNNNNNNNNNNNNNNNNNNNNNNNNNNNNNNNNNNNNNNNNNNNNNNNNNNNNNNNNNNNNNNNNNNNNNNNNNNNNNNNNNNNNNNNNNNNNNNNNNNNNNNNNNNNNNNNNNNNNNNNNNNNNNNNNNNNNNNNNNNNNNNNAAAAUUGUUGACAACAACAACUAACAGUCAUGGAUACAUUUCCACUUCAAACAUGUCAUUACUUGCCCGAGGUUGAUGUAGAGGUCCUUGACGUCGCUCUUGAGCUCCUGGUUGCCAUUCUCGAGGUCAAAGAACACCUACAGAGGUAUUAACCACCACAACCAUUUCAAAUCUUGACAAACCAAAACGAAAGAGCAAUCCUAUAUAUAGGGAAAAAACACAUGAAUGGCACAAAACCGGCGACGAUUCCUUGUUAUAGAAACUAAUAUGCGCUCUAUUUGGAUCAUAUUUUGUUGAACAAAUUGUUGCUUCAGUUCAGUACCAGUGCCACAUCGAUCUGUUUCACCUGAUCAGUACUACAGGGUCUAUCUUUGUGCAAAAAACUAUAACAAUGCUACGAACUUGUCGCUCUGCACCGGCUCAAAGGGCAACACGUUCCUGUCGAGGUCUGGUCCCCGGCCAGCCAUUGCAUGUGGAGCUGUCUCAGCCGACGCCGUCCAGGUGGAGCGUUGGUGACUCCCAGCCGAGGCCGGCCGCUUGAUUUAGAUGAGUUGAUCCAGGUCCAACGCCGCUCCGACCUCCUCUUUGACGGGCUCCAUUCCCUUAUUGAUGUGCCCAUGCCAGUCUUAGGAGGCUGGGAGCUCAGCUAUUGCCUGAAUUACAUGCCUGCUCACAAAUUUAAAAACAGCUUGGCUAAAAUCUCAUAUCACUUUCAGAAUAAAACUUGAUGAAACAGAGUUAUGAUAACAAAACCAUGCAAUGAACCAGGAUUUUUGAUAAAUAAAAUCAAAAGUACAUGUUUUACUCCAACAAGCUAUACUGCAAUAUUUCCGGUGACUCGGUUCUAUCAGCACACUGAUGACAUAAUAGAUGCAUUGUUCUAAGAAAUAGGUACUCAGAACUGGAAAUAUUACCUAUUUGGUAAGUGCAAGCUUCUGCCUAUGGAAGUAUGGAUGCUUUCUAUCCAUCACCACAAAUGAACAGAGAAACAGGGAGCAGAAGAACCCAAAAUCGAGACGCUAAAUGAGAGGGAUAGGGCUCACAGAAAGGGUCUUCUCAUUGCAGCAGCAUCGACAUUUGCUCAAGCCAAAUCUCUCCGGAGUUGCCCACGCCUUACUCUUCGACCGACCAGACCUCCUCCAAUGGUUGCCGUCAGCUCUCGCCUCCUCAUGCACCCCCUUGUAUUUUGUGCUUCAGCACUGAACACGAACAGAAGAUUCAGCUAGUGAUACUAUAGAUCUAACAAUUGGGGAAUCAUAUAAGUGAACUUACAUCCAUGCUUGACAGAUCAAACCAUUUCGUACCUCCUGGCAACAGUACCGAGCAUCCCAAGAACCUUGCAUAUCAUGUAUGGAAGAAGAGUGAAACAGACAAAGAUUUCAUGACUGUGUAGCAUUGGCAAGUCCCUUUUCCAUGACUUCAUCAAUAACCGCUUCAUAUGUGUGCAAUCCUUUGAAGUAAAGUGUACUUCCAUCCUACAUCUUCACCAAGAAAACAUCACUUCAAGCAACAGAACGUCAACGCACCCGGAUUCAGAAUACACAUACACUUUGUUCUAGCUGUAGAAAUCUAAUAGCACACUGAUCAAAAUUAGUGCAAGGACAUAUCAAACAGGUAAAAAAGAUAUGAAAGACUAACUUUAUCCAAACAAACAGGAAGAGGAGCAAUAUAAAAUGAUGGGCCAGAUCAAAGGGAGUUGGCUGUGGGAGAGAAGUGUCGAUGAUUACCACGAUUCAGUUGCUAAUCACCGUCGAGGAUCCCAACAUCGAGAAACCAUAUCGAUUCAGGAAGAGCUGGAACAAUUCGUGAUAGUGCUGCAUCAGCCUCCCCGCUGGAUGUUUUUAGUGGGAAAAUACAGUAUAAUAUGUAUAUCUAGUCCAGCCUAAUUCUCUAGUUAAUGACCUCCUUUGUUUUGUUUUAUCAGAUUCUAUUUUAAUUUAGACGAUUUUAUUUUACAUUCAGACUGUAGUUAAUUGCCUCCUUUCUCCCUCUGUCCACACCAUAGACAAGGAUGCACUACCAGCUUUAGCGGCCAAAAUCUGGAUCUAUUGAGUCAGCUUCAUCACUCAGAUUUUCUGAAAAAGAGCACGAAAUCAUAAUACCAUUAUACAACAGUUGAAAAAAUCGUACUGGGCAUGGGCCGUCUAUUAGCUUGGCUAAGUAUGGUGCCGUCCAUUAGGCUGGCUUGAUUAAGAAACUUUAUACAUACUACUAUAUAUUAGUAGAUGAGUUACAUCUCGUAAGAAAACUAAGUUACAGGAAUUGAAAUCCACCACCGUAACUGUACAUGUAUAUAAUAGAUGAGGCUUAGACAUAAAACAACAUUAAUUUUAUGUCAACAGGGAGGUUCACAGGUCAUCUGGAUUUCUUUCAUUUUUGUGAAUUGGCAUGUCAAGUGGUCGGACCGUUCCCCGGACCCUGCGCAAGCGGGAGCGAUGUGCACCGGGCUGCCCUUUGUGAAUUGGCAUGUCAAGCAGGAGUGACGUGACAAACUAAUAAACAUGUUCAGUGACGUAUCACAAAUGCAAGGUAAGAAAACAAAAAAUAUUACUAACCAAGUUUACUAACUAUCAUUCGAGUUUGCCUGCACUGGAGGAAAUGUUGCAGUAUGAUUCCUUGAGUUAGAAGCAGAUAAAGAUAAUUGAUUAUCCACUACAAAAUCUCUAACCACUGCACACAUGCAAUGAUGGUUAGUAGGAAUACACAAUUUUAUGACCUGUAACAUUACUACAAGGUUCGUUGGUCAAUGUCCUUCCAGAAUAUGAACUUGAAUUGUGUGGGUGCAUAUUAUGACCUAUAAAAGAAUGACACGGAUCAUCCACCAUAUAGAUAUCCAUACAUCUACCUGGAUCCAUUUAUGACUGACUACGAAAGUAAAUGUCACAUAAAGGACAAGGAGCAGUACACAAAAACCUUUCAACAAGUAUAUGUAUUUAACAUAGGUGUAUAUUAAGUUAUUAACUGCAGAGCAACUUGGUAGCUAAGCAGCUAUGCAAACUUGCUAACUUAAGUUUCUGUUAGCAAAUGUUCGUACAGUUUCAGAAAACCUUGGGAGUAGUUGAUAGGAGUUCAUCUUGCUAAUUACAAAUAUUCCAGACUACACUGCGAAAGGUGAAACUUGAAUUACUAAUACACUGGCAAUCCUUUCAGUAAUAAGAUAUGAACGAAUAAGCAGAAAACUAAUAUUUCCUUAUUUCCUUCUAUCAAGACAGCAGACUCAUGACUUACCAUGGUACAGAACAUGAAACUUGUCAGCGUUAAUUUUAAGUUAAUAGGCAAAGCUCACAAGUCAUCAAGAUUUUAUUUCUUUUGUAUGUUCACCUUAUAAGUAUGUUCGCCUUAUAAGUAUCAAGAAACUUGUUUGCUAACCUGAAUAUAAUUCUCAACUGAUGGCUAAAAUGGCAGGCAGAGAAAGAGCAUAUCUGAACAAAAUACCUGGUAGAGCACCCUACAACAAACCUCCAAAAUGAUUAGCGGCAUUCGAUCAUUUCACAGUGCCUACAGAAAUAAAAUCGAAAUAGUAAUCAGGACAAAAUCUUUUUUGCAGAAGUGCACUCUAAAUUCAGAUAUAACGUUUUCAAAAAUCCAGUGAUGCUAAAGAGGACAUAUCUUGCACAUAUUUGAAGAAGCCACCAUCAUCCCGUAUUGGUCAUGGCAGUGAGAAACAAUCAGAAGUCCUAAAACAGAGUAGGAUCUAUUAGGGAAAAUUUGAAAAGGUGUGUUAGUAUGUGACCAUAAAAUAAGGUUGUAGACAGACCAGGAAUACUCGUUUGGAUCAUCAUAAUUACACCAUGUUGACUGUGGUGUUUUUCCAUGCUGGAUUUUUUCUGACUCCUACCAAAUAUAAGAGAACCAUCUCCAUUACCAAGAAGCUUCUUGCUUUCUUUCAAGAGUAUGUGUUCGACCCAAAGGAAUUUUUUUCGCAUCAUUAUCGGAAUCCACUCCCCUAAUCGCCUUUCUCUGUAUCUAUCUUUAACAUAUUUGCUAGCCCUGAAAUCUGUAGGGAAAUUAGACGCAAACUAUGACAGAGAAGUGUGAAACACAGUGACAACAGAAUUAGCUCACCCCUUCAUACUGCUGUAGAGUAGAGUAUUUAUAUAUGAUAUCUGGUUAGUGUAGUAAGCUGAUCUUUAAUUCCAAAGGCAAGUGCACCAUCGGCAUGUGGUUCUGCAAAAAUCAUCACUGAAGCAAUCAUAUCAGAAAUCCAUGAACUGUCAUCUAUACAACAAGAACAAGGAAAAAAGGACCACAAAUGGGUAUCCAACUCGGCCAGCAGUGGCGACCUUAUACAUUGUUCAAAUCAACCUGCAUAUAUAAUAAACAACAAUAUAAUUUAUUUAUAAACAAAAUUAUUAGCAGCCAACAGACACUUAAUCUUUUUAGAAACUGGAAAGUUUGAUUUCAUAACAUAAGUGUGUUCUUUCAUAAGGCACAAUAUCUGAAGCAUUUCAAUCUAUACUUCAAAUAACAAUAGCCAACACCGUGACUAAUAGUAUAUCAGGGAAGAACAUUAGGUUCAUUUUUUUAUGAGGCAACAAAAAUAUAUGAUAAAUAUCUUCCUGCGUAUUAGCAACAGGAGGGAUAUAAAUAAGCAUACAAGUUGUACUCCAGCUUAGAUUGCACCAUACACCUCCAUUAGUCAUAAAAUUUAGGAAUAGUGCAGCCUGUUUUGACGAUGGAAAAUACAAAAUCUUUGUAGUCAAUAAAAUCAAUAUAUAGAGUGAAAAACGAGGCAAACUCAUUCUGUAACUUCUUAAGCUUCAGCUCCCCAGAUUUGUACUAAAUCCCACCUCAACAGCCCAAAAUUACAACCGCGUUGAACUGUUCCAUCUCAACAGCCCAAAAAUACUAAAUCCCAUCAAAAACUACAUGUUGAACUGUUCCAAAGCACCAUUAAUCAGAACAUGUACAAAGAAACAAAGGAGUGAUCAACAGCCAAAAAUAGGCUAAAUUACGAACCUGAGAAUCAGGUCAUGGGGUUCAAGGGGAAACUCCUUCGCGCCCUGCUGGCGGGAGUUGAGCACGACCGUGGACUCACCAGGGUCGUCAGCUGCAGAACCUGCUGCUGCUGCUGCUUGACAUCGCGCUCCUGUCCCUUGCAAAGUAUUAUUCUGAACACUGCGAAACGCCUGUCUGAAUUUCCAUGAUGGCACGAAACUAAAUGUAAGUAAUAUUGCUCUAGGAAAUACAGGAGUACUCGAAGAGUGCUCUGUUCAUCUGAUGGAUUGUGCGUGUGCCAAGAGCCAGGCCAAGAUGCACAUUUAGUAUGCAUAGGAAUAAAAAAAGAAACAUACUUUCAAUUUCAAUGGGAUCCCUCGGGAAGUUCCUUUGUAGUAGAACAUACAUUUACUCGAAGAUUUCCCUUUUACUUUUCGAACCAGGAUGUAAAAUCAUUUUCAGCGUAUUAGUUGUCUUUAUCUUCUCCAUCAGAUCCAGCCACAUAUACAUGAAUGAACAAGUGCCGUAGUGAAUUCUAUAAAUUACAAACUAUUUGAAGGUUGAAGCGCAUAAAUCAAGUGAUUGUUAUGCGUGCAAUUAGACACUGGAGCAGAUGAUGUACUACCCAAAUCCAAGCCUCACAUCAUUUGUAGAAACUGCAAGCCAAAUCAAACAGCAACAAAAUUGAAGAGCACCAUUUACCUCUGAAUGGCAAGCAUCCCCUCUUGAAAAAGCUGAUCCAAGUUGAGGUAGCCCAAGAAUCCACAUGCGCUGUGGUGAAGAGGAGGUAGGUUGGCAGCCCCAUCGCCUUGUCCACGUGCACCGCGGAUCCUAUGACACCGUCAGCGACAACACGGAUCACCGGUAGAACUCUGUUCGUCCUUCCGUGCCUCCCAACAAGCUCCGACGCGUGGUGUCAUGCUCGGAAUGAGGGAGCUGGGCAAGCGGCCUAUGCGUUGCUACGGACGGCGGCAGCAGCGGCCCUGAGAAAUUGCAAACAUAACAUAUUACAAAAUGGAAGGCAAUAUAGUAACACCCAUAUUAGCAUCCUGACACAUGGAACUGGGAAAUUGAGGGACAUGUACAGUAGCUACAAUACCAUACUUACCAGUCAGAUUAGCAUAACCCACCAGUCAAAUUAGCAUAACCCACAUCUAUCUAAAUGACAAGAAAUUUAGGCUAAAAUACUUUAGGAUAAACUGGAAGGCAAUAUAGUAACACCCAUAUUAGCAUCCUGACACAUGGAAGUGGGAAAUUGAGGGACAUGUGCAGUAGCUACAAUACCAUAACUUACCAGUCAGAUUAGCAUAACCCACAUCUAUCUAAAUGACAGGAAAUUUAGGCUAAAAUACUUUAGGAUAAACUGGAGACAUUAAAAGAUAGUUCUGCAAGGCUCACCUUAAAUAGCAGUACUUACGAAGCAAGAUAGCAUGUCUUGAAGAUUCAUCUUGUAUGCACCUAGUAGCAGAUAUUCCGAACAUGUACCGAAAACAUAUUCCUAUAGGUAAAUGCAAUGGCUUACAGUACAAAACAUGUGUACUACCGUCAAUGCUAUCUCCGGAAGGUGUUGCAUUGCCAAUGUGUUAGUGAUAACGCAUAGCAAUAUGAAUAAAGGCAUACAACAAGAGGAAAAUGAGGAGAAGGCCGGGGUACACUCCUCCAUGGAUCUGGCAGCAACGACUGUGGCUACCUCGCUGGCGUCGUCGGCGGUGGCCGGGAAGCUCCGCCGGUUGUGGCCACGGCCAGAUCCCGGGAGCACGGUGACGGGAGGUCGGGGAGGGAGAAGAACAGCGGUGGUGGAGGUCCCCUUCCGUCGAUCUAGCGACGUGCAGGAUCCAUCCGAGAGGAGGUCGAUGGAGGUGAGGGCCGGCCGGCUUCGGCGAUUGCGGACCUCGGCGGCGACCUGGAGGCGGCGGUGUGUCACAGUCGCAACCUGGAGGCGGCGGCUCCUCUCGGUCCUCAGCUGCAGCGGCUAGUCUCAGAUCUCGGUGGCGGCUCCUCUCGGUCCUCAGGCGCGGCGGCUACUCUCGGACGUUGGCGGCGGCGCUGUGACCUGCAGUUGCGUCAGGAAGAGGACGGCGGCGGCGUUUACUCUCGAGGGGAUCGAGAUGAGCCGCGUUUGGUGCCGGGUGGGUUUUUCGGGUGCGUGUGUGCGGGGUGGGGAUGUGACGAAAAAAAACCAAUGAAAAAAACCGGACGAAAAUGGUGGGACGAAAAAUAAACCCGGAACGCGGACUACCAACUGAGACAUUAGGAGUAGAGAUGAUCAUAUCACAGACAUUUUAUCCUCUUGUCAUGACGAUCUUCAACUUCACUCUGAAAUUACUUGAACCUUUCAAUAAUUCAGACUUGUGUUUCAUCAAGUAAAUAUUCCCAGCAUCUACUCAAAUCAUCUGUGAAGUAAGAAGAUAACGAUAUCCACUGCGUGCCUUAGCACUCAUUGGACUGCACACAUCAAAUGUAUUACUUCCAACAAGUUGCUCUCUUGUUCCAUCUUACUGAAAACGAGGCCUUUCAGUCAUCUUGCCCAUGUGGUAUGAUUUGCAUGUCUCAAGUGAUUCAAAAUCAAGUGAGUCCAAAUGAUCCAUCUGUAUGGACUUUCUUCAUGCAUAUAUACUAAUAGACAUGGUUCGCAUGUCUCAAUCUUUUCAAAAACGAGUGAGUCCAAAGAUCCAUCAACAUGGAGCUUCUUCAUGCGUUUUAUACCAAUAUGACUCAAGUGGCAGUGCCACAAGUAUGUGGUACUAUCAUUACUAUCUUAUAUCUUUUGGCAUGAACAUGUGUAUCACUACGAUCGAGAUUCAAUAAACCAUUCAUUUUAGGUGCAAGACCAUUUAAGGUAUUAUUCAAAUAGACAGAGUAACCAUUAUUCUCCUUUAAUGAAUAACCGUAUUGCGAUAAACAUAAUCCAAUCAUGUCUAUGCUCAACGCAAACACCAAAUAAUAAUUAUUCAGGUUUAACCCCAAUCUCGAUGGUAGAGGGAGCAUGCGAUGCUUGAUCACAUCAACCUUGAAAACACUUCCAACACAUAUCGUCAUCUCACCUUUAGCUAGUCUCCGUUUAUUCCGCAGCUUUUAUUUCGAGUUACUAACACUUAACAACCGAACCGGUAUCUAAUACCCUGGUGCUACUAGGAGUACUAGUAAAGUACACAUUAAUAUAAUGUAUAUCCAAUAUACUUCUGUCGACCUUGCCAGCCUUCUCAUCUACGAAGUAUCUAGGGUAGUUCUGCUUCAGUGACCGUUCCCCUCAUUUCAGAAGCACUUAGUCUCGGGUUUGGGUUCAACCUUGGGUUUCUUCACUAGAGCAGCAACUGAUUUGCCGUUUCAUGAAGUAUCCCUUCUUGCCCUUGCCCUUCUAGAAACUAGUGGUUUUACUAACCAUCAACAAUUGAUGCUCCUUCUUGAUUUCUACUUUCGCGGUGUCAAACAUCGCGAGUUGCUCAAGGAUCAUCAUGUCUAUCCCUGAUAUGUUAUAGUUCAUCACGAAGCUCUAAUAGCUUGGUGGCAGUGACUAUGGAGAACCAUCACUAUCUCAUCUGGAAGAUUAACUCCCACUCGAUUCAAGUGAUUGUAGUACUCAGACAAUCUGAGCACAUGCUCAACGAUUGAGCUUUUCUCCCUUAGUUUGCAGGCUUAAGAAACUUGUCAGAGGUCUCAUACCUCUUGACGUGGGCAUUAGUCUGAAAUCCCAAUUUUAGUCUUUGGAACAUCUCAUAUGUUCUGCGACGUUUCCAAACCGUCUUUGGUGCCACAAUUUUAAACCGUUAGCAUCACACACUGAACUAUCACGUAGUCAUCAAAACGUGUAUGUCAGAUGUUUCGUAACAUCUACAGACGACGCUCGAGGUUCCGCACACCGAGCGGUGCAUUAAGGACAUAAGCCUUCUGUGCAGCAAUGAGGACAAUCCUCAGUUUACGGACCCAGUCCGCAUAAUUGCUACUAUCAACUUUCAACUAAAUUUUCUCUAGGAACAUAUCUUAGUAGAACUAAAGCGUAAGCUACGACAUUAUUUGCAAAGACCUUUUGACUAUGUUCAUGAUAAUUAAGUUCAUCUGAUUAUUUAAUGAACUCCCACUUAGAUAGACAUCCCUCUAGUCAUCUAAGUGAUACAUGAUCCGAAUCGACUAGGCCGUGUCCGAUCAUCACGUGAGACGGACUAGUCAUCAUCGGUGAACAUCUCCAUGUUGAUCGUAUCUACUAUACGACUCAUGUUCGACCUUUCGGUCUCUUGUGUUCCGAGGCCAUGUCUGUACAUGCUAGGCUCAUCAAGUCAACCUAAGUGUUUUGCUUGUGUUCCGAGGCCAUGUCUGUACAUGCUAGGCUCGUCAACACCCGUUGUAUGCGAACGUUAGAAUCUAUCACACCCGAUCAUCACGUGGUGCUUCGAAACAACGAACCUUCGCAACGGUGCACAGUUAGGGGGAACACAUCUCUUGAAAUUUUAGUGAGGGAUCAUCUUAUUUUUGCUACCGUCGUUCUAAGCAAAUAAGAUGUAAACAUGACAAACAUCACAUGCAAAUCAUAAAGUGACAUGAUAUGGCCAAUAUCAUCUUGCGCCUUUUGAUCUCCAUCUUCGAGGCGCGGCAUGAUCACCUUCGUCACCGGCAUGACACCAUGAUCUCCAUCAUCAUGAUCUCCGUCAUCGUGUCUUCAUGAAGUUGUCUCGCCAACUAUUACUUCUACAACUAUGGCUAACGGUUAGCAAUAAAGUAAAGUAAUUACAUGGCGUUUUUCAUUGACACGCAGGUCAUACAAUAAAUUAAGACAACUCCUAUGGCUCCUGCCGGUUGUCAUACUCAUCGACAUGCAAGUCGUGAUUCCUAUUACAAGAACAUGAUCAAUCUCAUACAUCACAUAUAUCAUUCAUCACAUCCUUUUGGCCAUAUCACAUCACAUAGCAUACCCUGCAAAAACAAGUUAGACGUCCUCUAAUUGUUGUUGCAUGUUUUACGUGGCUGCUAUGGGUUUCUAGCAAGAACGUUUCUUACCUACGCAAAAGCCACAACGGUGAUAUGCCAAUUGCUAUUUACCCUUCAUAAGGGCCCUUUUCAUCGAAUCCGAUCCGACUAAAGUGGGAGAGACAGGCACCCGCUAGCCACCUUAUGCAUCAAGCGCAUGUCAGUCGGUGGAACCUGUCUCACGUAAGAGUACGUGUAAGGUCGGUCCGGGCCGCUUCAUCCCACAAUGCCGCCGAAUCAAGAUAAGACUAGUAACGGUAAGCAAAUUGAACAAAUCGUCGCCCACAACUACUUUGUGUUCUACUCGUGCAUAGAAUCUACGCAUAGACCUGGCUCAUGAUGCCACUGUUGGGGAACGUAGCAGAAAUUCAAAAUUCUCCUACGUGUCACCAAGAUCAAUCUAGGAGAUGCUAGCAACGAGAGGGGAGGAGUGCAUCUACAUACCCUUGUAGAUCGCGAGCGGAAGCGUUCAAGAGAACGAGGUUGAUGGAGUCGUACUCGUCGUGAUCCAAAUCACUGAUGAUCCUAGCGCCGAACGGACGGCACCUCCGCGUUCAACACACGUACGGAGUGGGCACGUCUCCUCCUUCUUGAUCCAGCAAGGGGGAGGAGAAGUUUAUGGAGAUCCAGCAGCACGACGGCGUGUCGGUGGAAGUAGCGGGAUCCCGGCAGGGCUUCGCCAAGCGCAAGCGGGGAGGAAGAGGUGUCACGGGAGGGAUGGAGGCGCCAGGGCUUGGGGUGCUGCUCCCAUGCGCCUCCCCACUAUGUAUAGGGGUGGAGGGGGCUGGUGUCUUGCCCUCCAAGUCCAUUGGGGCGUUGGCAAAUGUGGGGGAAAAAAAUCCCAUCAUUUCCCUUCCCCACCGAUUGUUAUCCCCCUUUUUAGGGAUCUUGAUCUUAUCCCUUCGGGAUAUGAUCUUAUUCCUUCUAUGGUGGGAUCUUGGUGCGCCUUGACCAGGGGUGUGGGGCCUUGCCCCCACUACCCACGUUCAUGUGGGUCCCCCCAUGCAGGUGGGCCCCACUUCAGAACCUUCUAGAACCUUCCUGGUACAAUACCGAAAAAUCCCGAACAUUUUCCGGUGGCCAAAAUAGGACUUCCCAUAUAUAAAUCUUUACCUCCGACCAUUCCGGAACUCCUCGUGACAUCCGGGAUCUCCUCCGGGACUCCGAACAACUUUCGGUUAACCGCAUACUAAUAUCUCUACAACUCUAGCGUCACCGAACCUUAAGUGUGUAGACCCUACGGGUUCGAGAGACAUGCAGACAUGACCGAGACGACUCUUCGGUCAAUAACCAACAGCGGGAUCUGGAUACCCAUGUUGGCUCCCACAUGUUCCACGAUGAUCUCAUCGGAUGAACCACGAUGUCGAGGAUUCAAUCAAUCCCGUAUACAAUUCCCUUUGUCAAUCGGUACGUUACUUGCCCGAGAUUCGAUCGUCGGUAUCCCAAUACCUUGUUCAAUCUCGUUACCGGCAAGUCACUUUACUCGUACCGUAACGCAUGAUCCCGUGGCUAACUCCUUAGUCACAUUGAGCUCAUUAUGAUGAUGCAUUACCGAGUGGGCCCAGAGAUACCUCUCCGUCAUACGGAGUGACAAAUCCCAGUCUCGAUUCGUGCCAACCCAACAGACACUUUCGGAGAUACCUGUAGUGCACCUUUAUAGCCACCCAGUUACGUUGUGACGUUUGGUACACCCAAAGCAUUCCUACGGUAUCCGGGAGUUGCACAAUCUCAUGGUCUAACGAAAUGAUACUUGACAUUAGAAAAGCUCUAGCAAACGAACUACACGAUCUUGUGCUAUGCUUAGGAUUGGGUCUUGUCCAUCACAUCAUUCUCCUAAUGAUGUGAUCCUGUUAUCAAUGACAUCCAAUGUCCAUGGUCAGGAAACCAUAACCAUCUAUUGAUAAACGAGCUAGUCAACUAGAGGCUUACUAGGGACAUGUUGUGGUCUACGUAUUCACACAUGUAUUACGGUUUCCAGUUAAUACAAUUAUAGCAUGAACAAAAGACAAUUAUCAUGAACAAGGAAAUACAAUAAUAACCAUUUUAUUAUUGCCUCUAGGGCAUAUUUCCAACACGAACAUAGUCGUCCAAUAUAUCGAUCUUUACGUCUCGACCAUUUCGAGACUCCUCGUCAUAUCCGUGAUCAUAUCCGGGACUCCAAACUACCUUCGGUACAUCAAAACACAAAAACUCAUAAUACCGAUCGUCACCAAACUUUAAGCGUGCGGACCCUACGGGUUCGAGAACUAUGUAGACAUGACCGAGACACGUCUCCGGUCAAUAACCAAUAGCGGAACCUGGAUGCUCAUAUUGGCUCCCACAUAUUCUACGAAGAUCUUUAUCGGUCAAACCGCAUAACAACAUACGUUGUUCCCUUUGCAUCGGUAUGUUACUUGCCCGAGAUUCGAUCGUCGGUAUCUCAAUACCUAGUUCAAUCUCGUUACCGGCAAGUCUCUUUACUCGUUCCGUAAUACAUCAUCUUGCAACUAACUCAUUAGUUACAAUGCUUGCAAGGCUUAUAGUGAUGUGCAUUACCGAGAGGGCCCAGAGAUACCUCUCCGACAAUCGGAGUGACAAAUCCUAAUCUCGAAAUACGCCAACUCAACAAGUACCUUCGGAGACACCUGUAGAGCACCUUUAUAAUCACCCAGUUUUGUUGUGACGUUUGGUAGCACACAAAGUGUUCCUCCGAUAAACGGGAGUUGCAUAAUCUCAUAGUCAUAGGAACAUGUAUAAGUCAUGAAGAAAGCAAUAGCAACAUACUAAACGAUCAAGUGUUAAGCUAACGGAAUGGGUCAAGUCAAUCACAUCAUUCUCCUAAUGAUGUGAUCCCGUUAAUCAAAUGACAACUCAUGUCUAUGGCUAGGAAACUCAACCAUCUUUGAUCAACGAGCUAGUCAAGUAGAGGCAUACUAGUGACACUAUGUUUGUCUAUGUAUUCACACAUGUAUUAUGUUUCCGGUUAAUACAAUUCUAGCAUGAAUAAUAAACAUUUAUCAUGAAAUAAGGAAAUAAAUAAUAACUUUAUUAUUGCCUCUAGGGCAUAUUUCCUUCAGUCUCCCACUAGCACUAGAGUCAAUAAUCUAGUUGACAUCGCCAUGUGAUUUAACACCAAUAGUUCAUAUCACCAUGUGAUUCACACCCACAGUUCACAUCGUCAUGUGACCAAUACCCAAAGGGUUUACUAGAGUCAAUAAUCUAGUUCACAUCGCUAUGUGAUUAACACCCAUAGAGUACUAAGGUGUGAUCAUGUUUUGCUUGUGAGAGAAGUUUAGUCAACGGGUCUGCCAAAUUCAGAUCCGUAUGUAUUUUGCAAAUUUCUAUGUCAACAAUGCUCUGCAUGGAGCUACUCUAGCUAAUUGCUCCCAGUUUCAAUAUGUAUCCAGAUUGAGACUUAGAGUCAUCUAGCUCAGUGUCAAAACUUGCAUCGACGUAACCCUUUACAACGAACCAUUUUUCACUUCCAUAAUUGAAAAACAUAUCCUCAUUCCACUAAGGAUAAUUUUGACCGUUGUCCAGUGAUCUAGGAGUAGAUCACUAUUGUACUCCCUUGCUAAACUCAAUGUAGGGUACACAAUAGAUCUGGUACACAGUAUGGCAUACUUUGUAGAACCAUGGCUGAGGCAUAGGGAAUGACUUUCAUUCUCUUUCUAUCUUCUGUCGUGGUCGGGCUUUGAGUCUUACUCAAUUUCACACCUUGUAACACAGGCAAGAACUCUUUCUUUGACUGUUGCAUUUUGAACUACUUCAAAAUCUUGUCAAGGUAUGUACUCAUUGAAAAAACUUAUCAAGCGUCUUGAUCUAUCUUUAUAGAUCUUGAUGCUCAAUAUGUAAGCAGCUUCACCGAGGUCUUUAUUUGAAAAACUCCUUUCAAAAUACUCCUUUAUGCUUUCCAUAAAAUUAUACAUUAUUUCCGAUUAACAAUAUGUCAUUCACAUAUACUUAUCAGAAAUGUUGUAGUGCUCCCACUCACUUUCUUGUAAAUACAGGCUUCACCGCAAGUCUGUAUAAAACUGUAUGCUUUGGUCAACUCAUCAAAGCGUAUAUUCCAACUCUGAGAUGCUUGCACCAGUCCAUAGAUGGAUCGCUGGAGCUUGCACACUUUGAGGCAUGGUUCGCAAGCAUCAACUGAUUCAUAAUCAAGUGAUUCCAAAAGCCCAUCAGCAUGGAUUUUCUUCAUGCGCUUUACACCAAUAUGACCUAAAAGGCAGUGCCACAAAUAAGUUGCACUAUCAUCAUUAACUUUGCAUCUUUUGGAUUCAAUAUUAUGAAUAUGUGUAUCACUACGAUCGAGAUCCAACAAACUAUUUUCAUUGGGUGUAUGACCAUCGAAGGUUUUAUUCAUGUAAAUAGAACAACAAUUAUUCUCUGACUUUAAAUGAAUAACCGUAUUGCAAUAAACAUGAUCAAAUCAUAUUCAUGCUCAACGCAAACGCCUAAUAACAUUUAUUUAGGUUUAACACUAAUCCCGAAAGUAUAGGGAGUGUGCGAUGAUGAUCAUAUCAAUCUUGGAACCACUUCCAACACACAUCGUCACUUCACCCUCAACUAGUCUCUGUUUAUUCUGUAACUCCUGUUUCUAGUUACUAAUUUUUAGCAACCGAACAAGUAUCAAAUACCCAGGGCCUACUAUAAACACUAGUAAGGUACACAUCAAUAACCUGUAUAUCAAAUAUACCCUUGUUCACUUUGCCAUCCUUCUUAUCCACCAAAUAUUCAGGGCAUUUCCGCUUCCAGUGACCAUUUCCUUUGCAGUAGAAGCACUCAGUUUCAGGCUUUAGUCUUGCUUUGGGCUUCUUCACGAAAGUGACAACUUGCUUGCCAUUAUACAUGAAGUUCCCUUUCUUUCCCUUUGCCCUUUUCUUGAAACUAGUGGUCUUGUUAAUCAUCAACACUUGAUGCUCUUUCUUGAUUUCUACCUUCAUCGAUUUCAUCAUCAUGAAAAUCUCGGGAAUCGUUUUUGUUAUCCCUUGCAUACUAUAGUUCAUCACGAAGGUCUACUAACUUGGUGAUGGUGACUAGAGAAUUAUGUCAAUCACUAUUUUAUCUGGAAGAUUAACUCCCACUUGAUUCAAGCGAUUGUAGUACCCAGACAAUCUGAGCACAUGCUCACUGCUUGAGCUAUUCUCCUCCAUCUUUUAGCUAUAGAACUUGUUGGAGACUUCAUAUCUCUCAACUCGGGUAUUUGCUUGAAAUAUUAACUUCAACUCCUGGAACAUCUCAUAUGGUCCAUGGCGUUCAAAACGUCUUUGAAGUCCCGAUUCUAAGCCGUUAAGCAUGGUGCACUAAACUAUCAAGUAGUCAUCAUAUUGAGCUAGCCAAACAUUCAUAACGUCUGCAUCUGCUCCUGCAAUAGGUCUGUCACCUAGUGGUGCAUCAAGGACAUAAUUCUUCUGUGCAGCAAUGAGGAUAAACCUCAGAUUACGGACCCAGUCCGCAUCAUUGCUACUAUCAUCUUUCAACUUAGUUUUCUCUAGGAACAUAUAUAAAACAUAGGGAAGCAAUAACGCGAGCUAUUGAUCUACAACAUUAUUUGCAAAAUACUAUCAGGACUAAGUUCAUGAUAAAUUUAAGUUCAAUUAAUCAUAUUACUUAAGAACUCCCACUUAGAUAGACAUCCCUCUAAUCAUCUAAGUGAGAACGUGAUCCAAAUCAACUAAACCAUGUCCGAUCAUCACGUGAGAUGGAGUAGUUUUCAAUGGUGAACAUCACUAUGUUGAUCAUAUCUACUAUAUGAUUCACUCUCCACCUUUCGGUCUCAGUGUUCCGAGGCCAUAUCUGCAUAUGCUAGGCUCGUCAAGUUUAACCCGAGUAUUCUGCGUGUGCAAAACUGGCUUGCACCCGUUGUAGAUGAACAUAGAGCUUAUCACACCCGAUCAUCACGUGGUGUCUUGGCACGACGAACUUUGGCAACGGUGCAUACUCAGGGAGAACACUUUUAUCUUGAAAUUUAGUGAGAGAUCAUCUUAUAGUGCUACCGUCAAUCAAAGCAAAAUAAGAUGGAUAAAGGAUAAACAUCACAUGCAAUCAAUGUAAGUGAUAUGAUAUGGCCAUCAUCAUCUUGUGCUUGUGAUCUCCAUCUCUGAAGCACCGUCAUGAUCAGCGUCGUCACGGCGCGACACCUUGAUCUCCAUCAUAGCAUCAUUGUCGUCUCGCCAACUAUUGCUUCUACGACUAUCGCGACCGCUUAGUGAUAAAGUAAAGCAAUUACAGGGCGAUUGCAUUGCAUACAAUAAAGCGACAACCAUAUGGCUCCUGCCAGUUGCCGAUAACUCGGUUACAAAACAUGAUCAUCUCAUACAAUAAAAUAUAGCAUCAUGCCUUGACCAUAUCACAUCACAACAUACCCUGCAAAAACAAGUUAGACGUCCUCUACUUUGUUGUUGCAAGUUUUACGUGGCUGCUACGGGCUGAGCAACAACCGUUCUUAUCUACGCAUCAAAACCACAACGAUAGUUCGUCAAGUUAGUGAUGUUUUAACCUUCUAAAGGACCGGGCGUAGCCCCACUCGGUUCAACUAAAGUUGGAGAAACUGACACCCGCCAGCCACGUGUGUGCAAAGCACGUUGGUAGAACCAGUCUCGCGUAAGCGCACGCGUAAUGUCGGUCCGGGCCGCUUCAUCCAACAAUACCGCCGAACCAAAGUGUGACAUGCUGGUAAGCAGUAUGACUUGUAUCGCCCACAACUCACUUGUGUUCUACUCAUGCAUAUAACAUCUACGCAUAAAAUCUGGCUCGGAUGCCACUGUUGGGGAACAUAGUAAUUACAAAAAAUUUCCUACGCACACGCAAGAUCAUGGUGAUGCAUAGCAACGCGAGGGGAGAGUGUUGUCCACGUAUCCUCGUAGACCGAAAGCAGAAGCAUUAGCACAACGCGGUUGAUGUAGUCGUACGUCUUCACGAUCCGACCGAUCCAAGUACCGAACGUACGGCACCUCCGAGUUCAGCACACGUUCAGCUCGAUGACGUCCCACAAACUCCGAUCCAGCAGAGCUUCGCGGGAGAGUUCCGUCAGCACGACGACAUGAUGACGGUGAUGAUGUUGCUACCGACGCAGGGCUUCGCCUAAGCACUGCUACGAUAUGAUCGAGGUGGAAUAUGGUGGAGGGGGGCACCGCACACGGCUAAGAGAUCAAGAGAUCAUUUGUUGUGUCUAGAGGUGCCCCUGGCCCCGUAUAUAAAGGAGCAGGGGGGAGGCGGCCGACCAGGAGGAGGGCGCGCCAAGGGGGGAGUCCUACUCCCACCGGGAGUAGGACUCCUCCUUUUCCUUGUUGGAGUAGGAGAGGGAAGGAAGGGAGAGAGAAGGAGAAGGAAAAGGGGGGCCGCCCCCUCCUUGUCCAAUUCGGACUAGAGGGGGAGGGGGCGCGCGGCUGCCCUGGCCGCCCCUCCUCUUCUCCCACUAAGGCCCAUGAGGCCCAAUUAACUCCCCGGGGGGUUCCGGUAACCCCCUAGUACUCCGGUAAAUGUCCGAAACCUUCCGAAACCUUUCCGAUGUCCGAACAUAGUCGUCCAAUAUAUCGAUCUUUACGUCUCGACCAUUUCGAGACUCUUCGUCAUGUCCGUGAUCAUAUCCGGGGCUCCGAACUACCUUCGGUACAUCAAAACACAAAAACUCAUAAUACCGAUCGUCGCCAAACUUUAAGCGUGCGGACCCUACGGGUUCGAGAACUAUGUAGACAUGACCGAGACACGUCUCCGGUAAAUAACCAAUAGCGGAACCUGGAUGCUCAUAUUGGCUCCCACAUAUUCUACGAAGAUCUUUAUCGGUCAAACCGCAUAACAACAUACGUUGUUCCCUUUGUCAUCGGUAUGUUACUUGCCCGAGAUUCGAUCGUCGGUAUCUCAAUACCUAGUUCAAUCUCGUUACCGGCAAGUCUCUUUACUCGUUCCGUAAUACAUCAUCUCGCAACUAACUCAUUAGUUACAAUGCUUGCAAGGCUUAUAGUGAUGUGCAUUACCGAGAGGGCCCAGAGAUACCUCUCCGACAAUCGGAGUGACAGAUCCUAAUCUCGAAAUACGCCAACUCAACAAGUACCUUCGGAGACACCUGUAAGCACCUUUAUAAGCACCCAGUUACGUUGUGACGUUUGGUAGCACACAAAGUGUUGCUCCGGUAAAUGGGAGUUGCAUAAUCUCAUAGUCAUAGGAACAUGUAUAAGUCAUGAAGAAAGCAAUAGCAACAUACUAAACGAUCAAGUGCUAAGCUAACGGAAUGGGUCAAGUCAAUCACAUCAUUCUCCUAAUGAUGUGAUCCCGUUAAUCAAAUGACAACUCAUGUCUAUGGCUAGGAAACUAAACCAUCACUACAAAAAAAAGACACAUCCGUACAUUUUGGGCCGAACGAAAAACUUUUUUGUCAUACUUAUGACACUUCUAUGACGAUAAUUGUGACAAAACACGGUAUCAUCAUAGAUGUGGUGGGGUCCUACUUCUAUGACAAAUAUUCAUGACAGAAAAUGGGCUUUUCGUCCUGGGCGGGCCGGAGACGCAGUUGCAUGACAUUCUUUGGGCCGUCCAUGACGGAAAAAAAUGUGGUAGAAGCGAGGGCGAGGAAAAUAUCAGGGUGUCCCCGGUUACGGUGGGUGGUCCGGGGCCGAGCGAUGCGCGUUUCUGUCGUACUUACACGCAUGUGUGCGAGGCGUUGGGCUCUAACUGAACCCGAGCGAGGCGUUGGGCUCUAACUGAACCCGAGCGAUUGCACUACAGGCUACGCGUUACUGAACCCGAGCGAUCAAUCGAUGGCUGUUAACUGAACCCGAUCGAGCGAUUCCUUCGCUAGUGCUGCUAACUGAAGCCGAUCAAUGCUGCCUCUGGAUGAACAGUGAGCGUUGCUGGGGGUUUGGAUGAACAGUUCCCGGUGGGGGUGGAUGAACAGGACCCCGUGGCGUUGCCUCUAGAUGAACAAUGAGCGUUGUUGGGGGGUUUGGAUCAACAGUUCCCGGUGGGGGUGGAUGAACAGGACCCUGAUCGUUCGAGCCGGUUGGGGCUGGAUGAACAGGACCCCGUGGAGGGCAGGAUGAACAGGACCACCCCAUGGAGGGCAGGAUGAACAGUAGACGGUGGAGGGCUGGAUGAACAGUAGCUCGUGGAGGGGUGGUUGAACAGGAGUCCGUGGAGAGGGCUGGUUGAACAGUAGCCAGUGGAGUAGCGCGCGGUGGAGGCUGAAUGAACAGGAGCCCGUGGAUGAACAAUCGCAGGUGGAGGCUGGAGGGGGUCGACGGUGGAUGAACAGUAGCCCGUGGAGGCUGGAGGGGGUUGACGGUGGAGAUGAACAGUAUCCCGUGGAGUCCCGUUUUGCGGUACGCCACACCCCUCCCGAUGAACAGGACCCCCGUUUCGACCGUAACGCUCCAACACAAGUCCGUUUCCUCUGUUUUGCGGUACGCCACACCCCUCCCGAUCAACAGGACCCCCGUUUUGACCAUAGGAGGUCCGUUUCCUCCGUUUUGCGGUACGCCAGCCCCUCCCGAUGAACAGGAUCCCGUUUCGAACGUGACGGCCGAACACAAGGCCGUUUCCUCCGUUCCGCGGUACGCCAGGCCUCGUUUCCAUCGGCUGUUCCAUCCAAGCCCUCCCGAUGAACACGACGACGCAUUCCGUUCCGACUCAGCCGGUUGGCUCCCCAUGAACACGACGACGACGCAGUUUCUCCGUUCCGACCCAGCCAUGUACACGAGCCCUGGCCGUACGUAUGCGCGAGUAGGCGUUUGAGACCCUGCCCGUAUGUACGUACGUGGUCGUAUUUUCUUGCAUCCUGGCCGCUGUACGUACGUGUACAUGCUACGUGCGCGCCUCUACUACGACACGUGCGCGCCUCUACAACGACCAGUAUGUACGUACAUGUUCGCGACCAGAAUGACAACGCUACGUAUGCUUCGACCAGGUGGGUCCCGACUGUCAGGCACUUCCUUGCCUGCGAAGAUGUAGCUGGUGGGUCCCAACAGUCAGGGGGGCGAAUCAUUUUUUUCCCGAACGCACUUCCUUGCGUGCGAAGAUGUAGCUGGUGGGUCCCAGCAGUCAGGGGAAACAUUUUUUUCACGAAAUAUGGUGGCCCGUCCAGUGGGUCCCCGCUGUCAGGUGGAGGAAUAAUUAUUUUGCGCGUAAUAAGGAGGCACUUCCUUUCUGCAGCCGUGGACCCAGCUGUCAGCCUCUCCACGUACAGUCCAUGUCCGAUGGAAACCGUUCCUUGACCAUGUUGACCACGGCGCGCCGAGAGCACCAGGGCGGUGGACGACGGCGAGGCCUAGGAAGGGGACGACGCGGAGCCGGGGAAGACGCGGCAGUGGAUGCCCACGCGUAGAGGAGUAUGAGGGUUCACUGGUUCGCUGCGGGGUGAGGCUGCCAUCGCCGCAGAAUAACAGGGGCUGUGGGUGUGUAGAGGGAUGGCCUGGCCAGCGGUGGGAGUAGUAGGGGGCGGUGAGGCCUCCGCCGCAUCGCAGCCGGCCACGGGAUGCAGGAGCACGAGGCACGACCGGCGCUGGUUUGGGCGGCUGGAGCAAGAAGACCAGAGGUUGAAGAAGCACUACGACCGUUGGAUGGACAUCGUACGGUCACUGGAGCUAGAAUCGUGCAUAUUGACUAAGUUGACAAAGCCCUUCGUCCCCGUCAACUUAGUAGGCCCACAAGUCAGCCUGCCACUAUACUGGGUCCCAGCUAGCAGGGGGAGUAUUCAAUUUUUUGUGCAUAAUAAGGAGGCACUUCCAUGCGUGCGAAGAUAUAGCUGGUGAGUCCAAGCUAUCAGCGACGGUAACGUUUUUUUUCAUGAAAUACAGAGGCCCUUUCGGUGGGUCCCAGAUGUCAGGUGGAGGAAUCAUUAUUUUGCGCAUAAUAAGGAGGCAUUUCCUUGCGUGCGGUCGUGGACCCAGCUGUCAGCCUCUCCACGUACAGUCCACUUCAGAUGCAUGUCGGUCGUUGACCACGUUGACCAGGCCGCGCCGAGAGCACCGGGGCGGUGGAUGACAGCGAGGCCUAGGAAGGGAACGACACGGAGGCAGGGAAGACUCGGCAGUUGUUUCCCACGCGGAGGGGAGUACGACUGUACGAGGGUUUACUAGUUCGUCUGCCGUCGCCGGAGAAUAACAACAGGUGUGGGUGAGUAGAGGGAUGGCUAGGCCAGCGAUGGGAGUACGGUGGGGCGGUGAGCCCUGCGCGGCAGCACAGCCGGCCGUGGGGAGGAGGUAGCAGGCAGUCCCGCCGGCGCUUGUUUGAGUGGCUGGAGUAGGAAGAGCAGAGAUUGAAGAAGCUGGAGCAGGCAUUACCGAGAGGGCCCAGAGAUACCUCUCCGACAAUCGGAGUGACAAAUCCUAAUCUCGAAAUACGCCAACUCAACAAGUACCUUCGGAGACACCUGUAGAGCACCUUUAUAAUCACCCAGUUUUGUUGUGACGUUUGGUAGCACACAAAGUGUUCCUCCGGUAAACGGGAGUUGCAUAAUCUCAUAGUCAUAGGAACAUGUAUAAGUCAUGAAGAAAGCAAUAGCAACAUACUAAACGAUCAAGUGUUAAGCUAACAGAAUGGGUCAAGUCAAUCACAUCAUUCUCCUAAUGAUGUGAUCCCGUUAAUCAAAUGACAACUCAUGUCUAUGGCUAGGAAACUCAACCAUCUUUGAUCAACGAGCUAGUCAAGUAGAGGCAUACUAGUGACACUAUGUUUGUCUAUGUAUUCACACAUGUAUUAUGUUUCCGGUUAAUACAAUUCUAGCAUGAAUAAUAAACAUUUAUCAUGAAAUAAGGAAAUAAAUAAUAACUUUAUUAUUGCCUCUAGGGCAUAUUUCCUUCAGUCUCCCACUAGCACUAGAGUCAAUAAUCUAGUUGACAUCGCCAUGUGAUUUAACACCAAUAGUUCAUAUCACCAUGUGAUUCACACCCACAGUUCACAUCGUCAUGUGACCAAUACCCAAAGGGUUUACUAGAGUCAAUAAUCUAGUUCACAUCGCUAUGUGAUUAACACCCAUAGAGUACUAAGGUGUGAUCAUGUUUUGCUUGUGAGAGAAGUUUAGUCAACGGGUCUGCCAAAUUCAGAUCCGUAUGUAUUUUGCAAAUUUCUAUGUCAACAAUGCUCUGCAUGGAGCUACUCUAGCUAAUUGCUCCCAGUUUCAAUAUGUAUCCAGAUUGAGACUUAGAGUCAUCUAGCUCAGUGUCAAAACUUGCAUCGACGUAACCCUUUACAACGAACCAUUUUUCACUUCCAUAAUUGAAAAACAUAUCCUCAUUCCACUAAGGAUAAUUUUGACCGUUGUCCAGUGAUCUAGGAGUAGAUCACUAUUGUACUCCCUUGCUAAACUCAAUGUAGGGUACACAAUAGAUCUGGUACACAGUAUGGCAUACUUUGUAGAACCAUGGCUGAGGCAUAGGGAAUGACUUUCAUUCUCUUUCUAUCUUCUGUCGUGGUCGGGCUUUGAGUCUUACUCAAUUUCACACCUUGUAACACAGGCAAGAACUCUUUCUUUGACUGUUCCAUUUUGAACUACUUCAAAAUCUUGUCAAGGUAUGUACUCAAUGAAAAAACUUAUCAAGCGUCUUGAUCUAUCUUUAUAGAUCUUGAUGCUCAAUAAUUUACAGCCCAUUUGCUAAUUCUUAAGGUUUUUUGGAGCCCAUAUUCUUUUUGUUAGCAUUACAACCCAUAUUGUGGCCACGGUUAAAAAAUUAUAUGAAUUUUUGCAUAUUUCGGUGCGGUCUGAACUGUUUUUAAUCCCGAAAUUUCGAGAUGGCUAGGCCAGCGAUGGGAGUACGGUGGGGCGGUGAGGCCUGCGCGGCAGCACAGCCGGCCGCGGGAGGAGGGAGCAGGCAGUCCCGCCGGCGCUUGUUUGAGCGCCUGGAGCAGGAAGAGUAGAGAUUGAAGAAGCACGACGGCCGUUGGAUGGACAUCCAACAGUCACUGCUUGUGCGUCAACCUUUUUUUAGGAAAGCCUCAAAUUUGUGGGAAACAGCAUACAACCCAUCUGUCAUUAUUUCCAAUAAUUUACAGCCCAUUUGCUAAUUCUUAAGGUUUUUUGGAGCCCAUAUUCUUUUUGUUAGCAUUACAGCCCAUAUUGUGGCCACGGUUAAAAAAUUAUACGAAAAUUUGCAUAUUUCGGUGCGGUCCGAACCGUUUUUAAUCCCGAAAUUUCGAGUCACAUUCAAACUGAUUUUAAAAAUAAAUGUAUAUCAAUAUAAAAUCCAACAAAUUGUCCAUGCAUAAAAAUCAAUGCAAUUUAAAAACCUCGAAAUGAAAAAAAGAAAUUUGAAACUAAUUGCCGAUUGGAUGUGUUUUAAAAAUGUACAGCCCAUUUCUCAUUACUGAUAGGCCAUUUUCUCGGCCAGCCGAAUGAAGCUCUCCUCGUCUUGAAAGAUUUGCAGCCCAACAGGCCUGACAAAGCGACUUACUUGGCAAAUCACAAAAAAACUGGGCUAUGGCCGUGGACCCAGCUGUCAGCCUCUCCACGUACAGUACUCUUCCGAUGGAAGUCGGUCGUUGACCACAUUGACCACGCCGCGCCGACAGCACCAAGGCGGUGGACGACGGCGAGGCCUAGGAAGGGGACGACACGGAGCCGGGGAAGACGCGGCAGUGGAUGCCCACGCGGAGAGGAGUACAAGGGUUCACUGGUUCGGCUACGGCGCGAGGCUGUCAUCGCCGCAGAAUAACAGGGGGUGUGGGUGAGUAGAGGGAUGCCCUGGCCAGCGGUGGGAGUAGUAGGGGGCGGUGAGGCCUCCGCGGCAUCACAGCCGCCACGGGUGGCAGGAGCACGCGGCACGACCGGCGCUGCUUUGGGCGGCUGGAGCAAGAAGACCAGAGGUUGAAGAAGCACUAUGGCCGUUGGAUGGACAUCGUACGGUCACUGGAGCUAGAAUCGUUCAUAUUGACUAAGUUGACAAAGCCCUCCAUCCCCGUCAACUUAGUAGGCCCACAAGUCAGCCACCCACUAUGGUGGGUCCCAGCUAGCAGGGGGUAUUCAUUUUUUUGUGCGUAAUAAGGAGGCACUUCCUUGCGUGCGAAGAUAUAGCUGGUGGGUCCGACCUGUCAGCGGGGGGAACGUUUUUUUCGCGAAAUACAGAAGCCCUUCCCACGUACAGUGCGUAAUAAGGAGGAACUUUCCUUGCGUGCGACCAUGGACCUCGUGGGUCCCAGCCGUCAGGCUCUCCACGUACAGUCCUCUUCCGAUGACUCUCGUAUGUUGACCACGCCGCGCCGAGCGCACCAAGGCGGUGGACGACGCCGAGGCCCCAAACUGGAACGACCCGGAGAUCGGGAAGACGCGGCAAUGGAGUCGCAGACGGAGAGGAGUGGGAAACUUGACUAGUUCGGGUGCGUGGUGGGCCUACACUCGGUAGAGAACAACAGGAGGUGCGGAGUGGAGGGAUGGCCUGGCCGUCGGCGGGGUAGCGUUUCGCUGAGGAGCGCAAAACAACGCCGCUGGACGCCGGAGGCUGGAGCAGGCGGUCCCAGCAGCGCUGGGGGAAGAAGAUGAGAGAUUGAAGAAGAAUGCCGGCCGUUGGAUGUAAAUCCAACGCCUUCUUAGGCUUCGACCUACUGGCCCACAUGUCAGCCUGUCCAUUUGUUUUUUUAGUCCAUUUGGUGGGCUGGGUGAAACAAUUAUGUAGCAUCUAUGCAGCCUUUUUAUAUGUAUGCUAGAAUUUAAAGCCCAUUUGCAUUUUUCUCGAAAUCCACGGACUUGCUGGGCUGGGUGAAAAUAUCAUGUUCGGCUAGACGGAGAAAUGUUAUAAAAACAUAAACACAUGAUUGCACGUCUAUUACUGCAUUGGUCAGUAAAAUCUUUGCAAGCUUAUGUACGCAAUCACUAGGAGUUAACUUGCCAAGUUAUAUAUAAACAAUUAUUAUUAUUAUUAUUUUGUAAGAACUUUCAACUUACGAAAUAAAAUAUCAUUUAAAUUUGAUGAGUUAAUAGUACGUGGGGUAUUAUUAUUUUUUAGGCUAGACGUGGGACAGUUGAGUUGGUUCUAGGGAAAAGUACUGGGAGAAAACUUAGUUUACAUCGAAAAAGAAAGUGGGAGGAAAUUCAGAUAUAGGAUUAAUGAAAACGAAAAAUAGAACUGAGCUGUAUAGGAAGAGGACGAAAGAUUGAACAAAAUAAAGAAAUACAAAUGGAUAGGUGGUUGGUCCCAUAUGUCUGUGUACGAGACCUGCUGGGUCCAUCUGAGGAGGGGAAUAUGUUGGGAGGAAGGAGAUUCAAAGCACGACAACCGAGUGAACUAGUUUUUUUUAACGGACAAGUGAACUAGUUACAUACAUAAGCAAAUAGCCACUAAAAAAGCAAACAGGUUAAUGGGUUCUUAAAAGAAAAAAUUCGGACAAAACAGAUAAUUACGACACUUAGGGACCUUCCUGGCAUGCUUGAUCAUGACGAUGCGGCUGUCCAUGUACUCGUCGGUUACGGGAAGCAGACACGCCCUCAUGUCCAAGAUCUGCAUGUACAUGUCGUACCAUGCGUAUGCGUCCUUGGCCGCGUAGGUUAUGUAGGCUAGAUUCAGAGGUACCUCCCACGUGUUCAGGUCCUUGGUAUCGUUGUCUUCUUUCAUGUUGGCGUAUAAGGGGUCGAUGAUGGUCUCGGCGAGGUCAACCACGGAGUCCUUCUCCUGCCCGUUGCUGAUGAUCAUGUAUUGCUUCUGGAUGUCGACAAGCUUGUUGCACCAGAUGGCCGAAUCAUCGCGUUCUUCCUUCUCUCCACCGUAGCGAAGGUGCAGUCAGCGCUGCCGAUGAAACGGGCGAAUGCUCCAGAACCUCUGAUGGCCCUACAGAAGUGGUAGAUGAGAACCUUGUCCCGCACACAUACCUGGGCGACGGCGAUCCGCUGGUCCCUGUCAGGAGAUGAAUGGAUGGGCACAAGGUCUAGUCCUGCAACCUUGUGCUUUCUUGUCCUGUAGGUACUGCUUGAACUCGGCAAGGCAGAGCUUCACCGAGUCCGGAUCGUUGGUGUACAUCACAUUCAACUUGGUGCAGCCAUAGGACUAAACGGCGAACUCAAAGGGGAACUCCUUGUUGAAGUCCAUAUCCAGCAGGCUCACCCCUCGGAUCGCCAUUGGAGUCUCUUCAAGUGAACGAGUGUGUAGGCGGCGGCAGCAGUUCGUUUUUCAGCUCUUGGGGAACUGGAUUCAACAGUAAACUGAGUGUGUACAGGCGACAACAGUUACUACCCCUCCCUCGUCCGCUGCACGCCCGGCAGAAGAUGCACCUUCGACGCAUUCAAACGCCUCCAUUAAGAAACCUACUCCGGCCACACGUCGGUUCACGAGCGGGUCUGUAUUGGUCCGGUAAUAACAUGAGUUAGUGGUCACUUUACUUAAAUUUAACUAGCUUUAAUAGAAAUUUAUACUUAAAACAAGCAAUGCAUUGGCUCAUUCUAUCAAUGCCACAGGAUCAACAUGCACAACAAUUAGAAUUAUUAUUCUCAGGACGCACACGAUCAGCACAUUUGUCACACUUUCACAAAGAUAAUACUACCAAGUUUGAACUGUUUGUUAUGGUUGUUGUUCUCUGCAUCAUCAUGCCGUGUUUGCCAGCUUGCAAGAUUCAGAACCAACAAAUAAGAUCCAAAUAAUAAGUACAACAAAGAUGCCUACACAUCUCAUUGAUUCCCAGCUUGCAAGAUUCAGAACCAACAAAUAAGAUCCAAAUAAUAAGUACAACAAAGAUGCCUACACAUCUCAUUGAUUCCCAGCUUGCAAGAUUCAUGUAACAUCCCCAGCAUCACACUACAGUAAUCUCCCCCUAAUGAAGGUCAUGUCAUCAUGAUCAUCAUGCCAAAAGGCCACUUGUCCAAAAUCUGCUUCAAAUUCAAAUUCAAAUUGCAUGUCAAAUAUUUGCUUCUUCUUUCAUGCAAAUAGAAUAGUUCAUCCUGUGGCAAAUAAACCAUAACAAAUAUUGGUGGUGAACCAACAUUUUUGCAAGGUGUUUAAAUGGCCUAAACCAAUUAAAGCAGUGGCUAAAACAAUAGAUUAAAUGCCUUUUAUUUUCUAAAAAUUGCAAACUAUUUCAAAAGCCUCACAAUCUUUUUGUGGCAGUGCCCAAUAAUUCUUUGAAAUUGUUUUGGCCAGCGUCAUAUUUUUGCAAAGUCUUUUGUGUCUAAAAGAAAAAGAAAAAGCUACUGAAAAAAACAAAAAAAAGAAGAAAAGGAAAAAGGAAAAGCAAAGGGGUGGGAGAGCCCCUGGUCUUCCCAUGGGCCUCAGCCCAUUCCAGCAGACCGGCCCACUCCCCCUCCCCGGUCGCUUCCUGUUCCUCCGACCGGGCAGGACAGUGCGCGCCCGUCGCCGUCCAGCCACCUCGCCGGCGACGCCCGACGAGAGGAUAAGGCCCCCAGCACGCUCACCCACAUCCUCUCGCCCUUGCUCCCUCACGCUCUCCCUCAUCCUCUCGCCCUUGCUCCCUCUCCUCAGAUCCCCUUUUCGCAGAGCAACCGUGUCGCCGCCGUCGGCCACCACCGCGGUGACUGCCAUCCUUACGCCUCGCCGACGUGUUCGUUCGCCUCACCGUCGAGUUCCUCGCCCUCCGGUGUAGCUCCCCGAGAUCAAGGAGCGCCGCAGCGCCGGAUCCACCCCGUCUUCCUCCUCGGGACGCUCGAGCUCGCCGCCGUCGAUUCGCUCCGCCGAGCCUCCCCCGAGCCCACGAUUGCACACCUGCAGGCUCCCGGUGAGCCUCUGCUUCCUUCCCCCUCCCUGCGACACCCCGUUCGCCCGUAGCCAUGCUCGCCACCCUGGGCCGAGCUCAACUCCGUUGUACGGCUCACCGCCGUUGCCCUUAUCGUUGUCAUGGCCAUUCGAGCACACCGUUGUGCUCGGGGCACUCCAAUGGUGCGGACUGCCCCCUGCUUCGCUUGCAAACACCCUGCGUAGCCGUCCCCGUCGAGGCCCGAAGCCAACCGCAGCCUCUGCUCAACGCCGGCGCCAACUCCGGCGGUCUCAGCUCCUACCAGUGCCCCCACAGGACGCGGCGGGCUCUCCCCAUUCGAACACGCCCGCCCGCGCCCAUUUUGGCCGCCGGACGGCGAAUCCCGACGCACGGUCGCGCCCUCCGCCACGGAUUUCGUCGCCGGAGCUAGCUCCGGCACCACCGCUGACCUGGCCGGCCGGGGUCACCCCCUAGGUCACUAACCCGUGGGCCCGCAGGGCCCGGUUGACCUGUUGACUUCGGUCAACUACUGACUGGGCACUCUGGCCCACUGACAUGCGGGCCCCGCCGUGUAAUUAAUUUAACUAAACCAGUUUUGUAAUUAAAAUUAAUUAGUUAUUCUGUUAAGACACUGACAGGUGGGGUCCAGGUGCUAAUUAACCUUGUUUAGUCUUAGUUAAAUUUAGUUAAGCCCUCUGACCAUGACAUGUGGGUCCCACCGGCCCCACAUGGCAGGUUUGACCCUGGUCAGCGAGCCUGUUGACUGCUGACAUCAUCCCCACACAAUGCUGACGUCAUAAUUCCUUUUCUGUUAAUAAUUCCAGAAUUUGUUUAAAACUUUAGAAAAUCGUAGAAAAUAAACCGUAACUCGGAUGAAAAUGUUUCUACAUGAAAGUUGCUCAAAAAAAUCCAAUGUAUCCGAAUACGCGGUCCGUUCUUUUGUCACAUGCCCCUAGCAUGCUGAACAUGGAACUGUUGGGAAUCGUAGCAUAAUUUUAAAAAAUUUCUACGCUCACCAAGAUGCAUCUAUGGAGUAUACUAGCAACGAGGGGAAAGGAGCGCAUCUACAUACCCUUGUAGAUCGCGAGCGGAAGCGUUCCAAUGAACGUGGAUGACGGAGUCGUACUCGCCGUGACCCAAAUCACCGAUGACCGAGUGCCGAACGGACGGCACCUCCGCGUUCAACACACGUACGGUGCAACGACGUCUCCUCCUUCUUGAUCCAGCAAGGGGGAAGGAGAGGUUGAUGGAGAUCCAGCAGCACGACGGCGUGGUGGUGGAUGUAGCGGGUCUCGGCAGGGCUUCGCCGAGCAUCUGCGAGACGGAGAGGUGUAAUAGGGGAGGAGGGAGGCGCCCAAAGCUGUAGGUUGCUGCCCUCCCUCCCCCCCUUUAUAUAGGCCCCCUGGGGGAGCGCCGGCCCUGGNNNNNNNNNNNNNNNNNNNNNNNNNNNNNNNNNNNNNNNNNNNNNNNNNNNNNNNNNNNNNNNNNNNNNNNNNNNNNNNNNNNNNNNNNNNNNNNNNNNNNNNNNNNNNNNNNNNNNNNNNNNNNNNNNNNNNNNNNNNNNNNNNNNNNNNNNNNNNNNNNNNNNNNNNNNNNNNNNNNNNNNNNNNNNNNNNNNNNNNNNNNNNNNNNNNNNNNNNNNNNNNNNNNNNNNNNNNNNNNNNNNNNNNNNNNNNNNNNNNNNNNNNNNNNNNNNNNNNNNNNNNNNNNNNNNNNNNNNNNNNNNNNNGCCUUGCCCCCCAAGGCAAGUGGGAAGCCCCCCCACCCUAGGGUUCCCAACCCUAGGCGCAUGGGGGGAGGCCUAUGGGGGGGCGCCCAGCCAACUAGGGGCUGGUUCCCUUCCCACUUCAUCCCACGGGGCCCUCCGGGAUAGGUGGCCCCACCCGGUGGACCCCCGGGACCCUUCCGGUGGUCCCGGUACAAUACCGGUAACCCCCGAAACUUUCCCGGUGGCCGAAACUUGACUUCCUAUAUAUCAUUCUUCACCUCCGGACCAUUCCGGAACCUCUCGUGACGUCCGGGAUCUCAUCCAGGACUCCGAACAACUUUCGGGUUUCCGCAUACACAUAUCUCUACAACCCUAGCGUCACCGAACCUUAAGUGUGUAGACCCUACGGGUUCGGGAGACAUGCAGACAUGACCGAGACGCCUCUCCGGUCAAUAACCAACAGCGGGAUCUGGAUACCCAUGUUGGCUCCCACAUGUUCCAUGAUGAUCUCAUCGGAUGAACCACGGUAUCGAGGAUUUAAUCAAUCUCGUAUGCAAUUCCCUUUGUCAAUCGGUAUGUUACUUGCCCGAGAUUCGAUCAUCGGUAUCCCAAUACCUUGUUCAAUCUCGUUACCGGCAAGUCUCUUUACUCGUACCGCAAUGCAUGAUCCCGUGACUAACGCUUUAGUCACAUAGAGCUCAUUAUGAUGAUGCAUUACCGAGUGGGCCUAGAGAUACCUCUCCGUCACACGGAGUGACAAAUCCCAGUCUCGAUCCGUGCCAACCCAACAGACACUUUAGGAGAUACCCGUAGUGCACCUUUAUAGUCACCCAGUUACGUUGUGACAUUUGGCACACCCAAAGCACUCCUACGGUAUCUGGGAGUUGCACGAUCUCAUGGUCUAAGGAAAAGAUACUUGAAAUUGGAAAAGCUCUAGCAAACGAAACUACACGAUCUUUUAUGCUAUGCUUAGGAUUGGGUCUUGUCCAUCACAUCAUUCUCCCAAUGAUGUGAUCCCGUUAUCAAUGACAUCCAAUGUCCAUAGUCAGGAAACCAUGACUAUCUGUUGAUCAACGAGCUAGUCAACUAGAGGCUUACUAGGGACACGUUGUGGUCUAUGUAUUCACACAUGUAUUACGAUUUCCGAACAAUACAAUUAUAGCAUGAAUAAUAGACAAUUACCAUGAACAAAGAAAUAUAAUAAUAACCAUUUAUUAUUGCCUCUAGGGCAUAUUUCCAACAGCCUCCCACUUGCACUAGAGUCAAUAAUCUAGUUACAUUGUGAUGAAUCGAACACCCAUUGCGUCCUGGUGUUGAUCAUGUUUUGCCCUAGGGAGAGGUUUAGUCAACGGAUCUGCUACAUUCAGGUCCGUAUGUACUUUACAAAUAUCUAUGUCUCCAUUUUGAACACUUUCACGAAUGGAGUUGAAGCGACGCUUGAUAUGCCUGGUCUUCCUGUGAAUCCUGGGCUCCUUCGCAAGGGCAAUAGCUCCAGUGUUGUCACAGAAGAGAGUCAUCGGGCCCGACGCAUUGGGAAUCACCCCUAGGUCGGUAAUGAACUCCUUCAUCCAGACUGCUUCCUGUGCUGCCUCCGAGGCUGCCAUGUACUCCGCUUCACAUGUAGAUCCCGCCACGACGCUUUGCUUGCAACUGCACCAGCUUACUGCUCCUCCAUUCAAAAUAUACACGUAUCCGGUUUGAGACUUUGAGUCAUCCAGAUCUGUGUCGAAGCUAGCUUCGACGUAACCCUUUACGACGAGCUCUUCGUCACCUCCAUAAACGAGAAACAUAUCCUUAGUCCUUUUCAGGUACUUCAGGAUAUUCUUGACCACUGUCCAGUGUUCCAUGCUGGGAUUACUUUGGUACCUUCCUACCAAACUUACGGCAAGGUUUACAUCAGGUCUGGUACACAGCAUGGCAUACAUAAUAGACCCUAUGGCCGAGGCAUAGGGGAUGACGCUCAUCUUUUCUAUAUCUUCUGCCGUGGUCGGGCAUUGAGCCGUGCUCAAUUGCACACCUUGCAAUACAGGCAAGAACCCCUUCUUUGACUGAUCCAUACUGAACUUCUUCAAUAUCUUGUCAAGGUAUGUACUUUGUGAAAGACCAAUGAGGCGUCUUGAUCUAUCUCUAUAGAUCUUGAUGCCUAAUAUAUAAGCAGCUUCUCCAAGGUCCUUCAUUGAAAAACACUUAUUCAAAUAGGCCUUUAUACUUUCCAAGAAUUCUAUAUCAUUUCCCAUCAAUAGUAUGUCAUCCACAUAUAAUAUGAGAAAUGCUACAGAGCUCCCACUCACUUUCUUGUAAACACAGGCUUCUCCAUAAGUCUGUGUAAACCCAAACGCUUUGAUCAUCUCAUCAAAGCGAAUGUUCCAACUCCGAGAUGCUUGCACCAGCCCAUAGAUUGAGCGCUGGAGCUUGCAUACUUUGUUAGCAUUCUUAGGAUCGACAAAACCUUCCGGCUGCAUCAUAUACAACUCUUCCUUAAGGAAGCCAUUAAGGAAUGCCGUUUUGACGUCCAUCUGCCAUAUCUCAUAAUCAUAGUAUGCGGCAAUUGCUAACAUGAUUCGGACGGACUUCAGCUUCGCUACGGGUGAGAAAGUCUCAUCGUAGUCAACCCCUUGAACUUGUCGAUAACCCUUAGCGACAAGUCGAGCUUUGUAGAUGGUCACAUUACCAUCUGCGUCCGUCUUCUUCUUAAAGAUCCAUUUGUUUUCUAUGGCUCGCCGCUCAUCGGGCAAGUCAGUCAAAGUCCAUACUUUGUUUUCAUACAUGGAUUCUAUCUCGGAUUUCAUGGCUUCUAGCCAUUUGUCGGAAUCCGGGCCCGCCAUCGCUUCUUCAUAGUUCGAAGGUUCACCGUUGUCUAACAACAUGAUUUCCAGGACAGGGUUGCCGUACCACUCUGGUGCGGAACGUGUCCUUGUGGACCUACGACGUUCAGUAACUUGAUCCGAAGCUUCAUGAUCAUCAUCAUUAACUUCCUCCCCAGUCGGUGUAGGCACCACAGGAACAUUUUCCCGCGCUGCGCUACUUUCCGGUUCAGAAGGGGUGACUAUCACCUCAUCAAGUUCCACUUUCCUCCCACUCAAUUCUUUUGAGAGAAACUCCUUCUCUAGAAAGGACCCGUUCUUGGCAACGAAGAUCUUGCCUUCGGAUCUGAGGUAGAAGGUAUACCCAAUAGUUUCCUUAGGGUAUCCUAUGAAGACGCAUUUUUCCGACUUGGGUUCGAGCUUUUCAGGUUGAAGUUUCUUGACAUAAGCAUCGCAUCCCCAAACUUUUAGAAACGACAGCUUAGGUUUCUUCCCAAACCAUAAUUCAUAUGGUGUCGUCUCAACGGAUUUCGACGGAGCCCUAUUUAAAGUGAAUGCGGCAGUCUCUAAAGCAUAGCCCCAAAAUGAGAGCGGUAAAUCGGUAAGAGACAUCAUAGAUCGCACCAUAUCCAAUAGAGUGCGAUUACGACGUUCGGACACACCAUUUCUCUGAGGUGUUCCAGGCGGCGUGAGUUGUGAAACUAUUCCACAUUUCCUUAAGUGUGCACCAAAUUCGUGACUUAAAUAUUCUCCACCACGAUCUGAUCGUAAGAAUUUUAUUUUCCUGUCACGUUGAUUCUCAACUUCACUCUGAAAUUCCUUGAACUUUUCAAAGGUUUCAGACUUGUGUUUCAUUAGGUAGACAUACCCAUAUCUACUUAAAUCAUCAGUGAGAGUGAGAACAUAACGAUAUCCUCCGCGAGCCUCAGCACUCAUUGGACCGGACACAUCGGUAUGUAUGAUUUCCAAUAAGUUGGUUGCUCGCUCCAUUGUUCCGGAGAACGUAGUCUUGGUCAUCUUACCCAUGAGGCAUGGUUCGCACGUGUCAAAUGAUUCGUAAUCAAGAGACUCCAAAAGUCCAUCUGCAUGGAGCUUCUUCAUGCGCUUGACACCAAUGUGACCAAGGCGGCAGUGCCACAAGUAUGUGGGACUAUCGUUAUCAACUUUACAUCUUUUGGUAUUCACACUAUGAACAUGUGUAACAUCACGUUCGAGAUUCAUCAAAAAUAAACCAUUGACCAGCGGGGCAUGACCAUAAAACAUAUCUCUCAAAUAAAUAGAACAACCAUUAUUCUCGGAUUUAAAUGAGUAGCCAUCUCGAAUUAAACGAGAUCCAGAUACAAUGUUCAUGCUCAAAGCUGGCACUAAAUAACAAUUAUUGAGGUUUAAAACUAAUCCCGUAGGGAGAUGCAGAGGUAGCGUGCCGACGGCGAUCACAUCGACCUUGGAACCAUUCCCGACGCGCAUCGUCACCUCGUCCUUCGCUAGUCUCCAUUUAUUCCGUAGUUCCUGUUUUGAGUUACAAAUAUGAGCAACCGCACCGGUAUCAAAUACCCAGGAGCUACUACGAGUACUGGUAAGGUACACAUCAAUUACAUGUAUAUCACAUAUACCUUUGGUGUUGCCGGCCUUCUUCUUGUCCGCUAAGUAUUUGGGGCAGUUCCGCUUCCAGUGACCACUUCCCUUGCAAUAAAAGCACUCAGUCUCGGGCUUGGGUCCAUUCUUUGACUUCUUCCCAGUAACUGGUUUACCGGGCGCGGCAACUCCCUUGCUGUCCUUCUUGAAGUUCUUCUUAACCUUGCCCUUCUUGAACUUAGUGGUUUUAUUCACCAUCAACACUUGAUGUUCUUUUCUGAUCUCUACCUCAGCUGAUUUCAGCAUUGAAUAUACCUCAGGAAUGGUCUUUUCCAUCCCCUGCAUAUUGUAGUUCAUCACAAAGCUCUGGAAGCUUGGUGGAAGAGACUGAAGGAUUCUGUCAAUGACCGCGUCAUCCGGGAGAUUAACUCCCAGCUGAGUCAAGCGGUUGUGCAACCCAGACAUUCAGAGUAUGUGCUCACUAACAGAACUAUUCUCCUCCAUUUUACAGCUGAAGAACUUGUCGGAGACAUCAUAUCUCUCGACCCGGGCAUGAGCUUGGAACACCAAUUUCAGCUCCUCGAACAUCUCAUAUGCUCCAUGUUUCUCAAAACGCUUUUGGAGACCCGGUUCUAGGCUGUAAAGCAUGCCGCACUGAACGAGGGAGUAAUCAUCAGCACGCUGCUGCCAAGCGUUCAUAACGUCUUGGUUCUCAGGGAUUGGUGCAUCACCUAGCGGUGCUUCUAAGACAUAAUCUUUCUUGGCUACUAUGAGGAUGAGCCUCAGGUUCCGGACCCAGUCCGUAUAGUUGCUGCCAUCAUCUUUCAGCUUGGUUUUCUCUAGGAACGCGUUGAAAUUGAGGACAACAUUGGCCAUUCGAUCCUUGUAGACAUAGUGUAAAGAUUUUAGACUAAGUUCAUGAUAAUUAAGUUCAUCUAAUCAAAUUAUUUAAUGAACUCCCACUCAGAUAGACAUCCCUCUAGUCAUCUAAGUGAAACAUGAUCCGAGUUAACUAGGCCGUGUCCGAUCAUCACGUGAGACGGACUAGUCAAGAUCGGUGAACAUCUCCAUGUUGAUCGUAUCUUCUAUACGACUCAUGCUCGACCUUUUGGUCCUCCGUGUUCCGAGGCCAUGUCUGUACAUGCUAGGCUCGUCAAGUCAACCUAAGUGUAUUGCGUGUGUUCCGAGGCCAUGUCUGUACAUGCUAGGGUCGUCAACACCCGUUGUAUUCGAACGUUAGAAUCUAUCACACCCGAUCAUCACGUGGUGCUUCGAAACAACGAACCUUCGCAACGGUGCACAGUUAGGGUGAACACUUUCUUGAAAUUAUUAUAAGGGAUCAUCUUACUUACUACCGUCGUUCUAAGCAAAUAAGAUGCAAAAACAUGAUAAACAUCACAUGCAAUCAAAUAGUGACAUGAUAUGGCCAAUAUCAUUAUGCUCCUUUGAUCUCCAUCUUCGGGGCACCAUGAUCAUCUUCGUCACCGGCAUGACACCAUGAUCUCCAUCAUCAUGAUCUCCAUCAUUGUGUCUUCAUGAAGUCGUCACGCCAACGAUUACUUCUACUUCUAUGGCUAACGCGUUUAGCAACAAAGUAAAGUAAAUUACAUGGCGUUAUUCAAUGACACGCAGGUCAUACAAAAUAAUAAAGACAACUCCUAUGGCUACUGCCGGUUGUCAUACUCAUCGACAUGCAAGUCGUGAUUCCUAUUACAAGAAUAUGAUCAAUCUCAUACAUCACAUAUAUCAUUCAUCACAUCUUAUGGCCAUAUCACAUCACAUAGCACUUGCUGCAAAAACAAGUUAGACGUCCUCUAAUUGUUGUUGCAAGUUUUUACGUGGUUUGUAGGUUUCUAGCAAGAACGUUUUCUUACCUACGUAUGACCACAACGUGAUUUGCCAAUUUCUAUUUACCCUUCAUAAGGACCCUUUUCAUCGAAUCCGUUCCGACUAAAGUAGGAGAGACAGACACCCGCUAGCCACCUUAUGCAACUAGUGCAUGUCAGUCGGUGGAACCUGUCUCACGUAAGCGUACGUGUAAGGUCGGUCCGGGCCGCUUCAUCCUACAAUGCCGCCGAAACAAGAAACGACUAGUAGCGGCAAGAAGAAUUGGCAAACUCAACGCCCACAACUGCUUUGUGUUCUACUCGUGCAUAGUAACUACGCAUAGGCCUGGCUCAUGAUGCCACUGUUGGGAAUCGUAGCAUAAUUUUAAAAAAAUUCUACGCUCACCAAGAUGCAUCUAUGGAGUAUACUAGCAACGAGGGGAAAGGAGUGCAUCUACAUACCCUUGUAGAUCGCGAGCGGAAGCGUUCCAAUGAACGUGGAUGACGGAGUCGUACUCGCCGUGACCCAAAUCACCGAUGACCGAGUGCCAAACGGACGUCACCUCCGCGUUCAACACACGUACGGUGCAGCGACGUCUCCUCCUUCUUGAUCCAGCAAGGGGGAAGGAGAGGUUGAUGGAGAUCCAGCAGCACGACGGCGUGGUGGUGGAUGUAGCGGGUCUCGACAGGGCUUCGCCGAGCAUCUGCGAGACGGAGAGGUGUAAUAGGGGAGGAGGGAGGCGCCCAAAGCUGUAGGUUGCUGCCCUCCCUCCCCCCCUUUAUAUAGGCCCCCUGGGGGGGCGCCGGCCCUGGAGAUGGGAUCUCAAGGGGGGGGGGCGGCCAAAGGGGGGAAGGGGGUGCCUUGCCCCCCAAGGCAAGUGGGAAGCCCCCCCACCCUAGGGUUCCCAACCCUAGGCGCAUGGGGGGAGGCCUAUGGGGGGGCGCCCAGCCCACUAGGGGCUGGUUCCCUUCCCACUUCAUCCCACGGGGCCCUCCGGGAUAGGUGGCCCCACCCGGUGGACCCCCGGGACCCUUCCGGUGGUCCCGGUACAAUACCGGUAACCCCCGAAACUUUCCCGGUGGCCGAAACUUGACUUCCUAUAUAUAAUUCUUCACCUCCGGACCAUUCCGGAACCUCUCGUGAUGUCCGGGAUCUCAUCUGGGACUCCGAACAACUUUCGGGUUUCCGCAUACACAUAUCUCUACAACCCUAGCGUCACCGAACCUUAAGUGUGUAGACCCUACGGGUUCGGGAGACAUGCAGACAUGACCGAGACGCCUCUCCGGUCAAUAACCAACAGCGGGAUCUGGAUACCCAUGUUGGCUCCCACAUGUUCCACGAUGAUCUCAUCGGAUGAACCACGGUGUCGAGGAUUCAAUCAAUCCCGUAUGCAAUUCCCUUUGUCAAUCGGUAUGUUACUUGCCCGAGAUUCGAUCGUCGGUAUCCCAAUACCUUGUUCAAUCUCGUUACCGGCAAGUCUCUUUACUUGUACCGCAAUGCAUGAUCCCGUGACUAACGCUUUAGUCACAUAGAGCUCAUUAUGAUGAUGCAUUACCGAGUGGGCCCAGAGAUACCUCUCCGUCACACGGAGUGACAAAUCCCAGUCUCGAUCCGUGCCAACCCAACAGACACUUUCGGAGAUACCCGUAGUGCACCUUUAUAGUCACCCAGUUACGUUGUGACGUUUGGCACACCCAAAGCACUCCUACGGUAUCCGGGAGUUGCAUGAUCUCAUGGUCUAAGGAAAAGAUACUUGACAUUGGAAAAGCUCUAGCAAACGAAACUACACGAUCUUUUAUGCUAUGCUUAGGAUUGGGUCUUGUCCAUCACAUCAUUCUCCCAAUGAUGUGAUCCCGUUAUCAAUGACAUCCAAUGUCCAUAGUCAGGAAACCAUGACUAUCUGUUGAUCAACGAGCUAGUCAACUAGAGGCUUACUAGGGACACGUUGUGGUCUAUGUAUUCACACAUGUAUUACGAUUUUCGGAUAAUACAAUUAUAGCAUCAAUAAUAGACAAUUACCAUGAACAAAGAAAUAUAAUAAUAACCAUUAUUUAUUGCCUCUAGGGCAUAUUUCCAACAGGAACUUUUCCCCUCCGGUCAUCUGUCUGACACAGGUCCGGAAACGGAAAAACAUUCCUGGUUGAAUUCCCCCUUCACCUAUAUCAUGUAGCCAUACGUUAGGUCACACCCGGCACAUCAUAUUGCCAUGUUAUGCUUUGUGAUGCUAUGUUUGCUUUAUAUUUACUGUUUCUUCCCCCUCUUCUCUCCGGUAGACCCCGAGACCGAUGUUGCCCCUAUGAUCGACUACGUCACCGACGACCCCUCCUUGCCAGAGCAACCAGACAAGCCCCCCCCUUGAUCAUCCCGAUAUCGCCCAUUCCUUUCUCUCAUGCUUGCAUUAGAUUUUGCUACUGUAAUUGAUUGCUCCUAUUCUGAUGCAUAGCCUGUUUUUGUAACCUGCUUAUUGUUACCUACCUGCUUAUCCUAAACUACUUAGUAUAGGUUGGUUAGUGAUCCAUCAGUGACCCCCACCUUGUCCUUGUUGCCCCUGCUUCAUCAUUGAAGACCCGAUCAAUGGGAUCGAAGACUAGGCCCCAGCACCGCACAUCACUUUCCCCUUAGUUGCUCGACACUACCGGGUUACUAUCGAGUGGCGAGGGUGAGACCUCUACAACACUUCUGAUGUUAACCCUGUAGUGUAGCUAUUCGGUCGUGGUCAUCGAGGGUGAUUCCGCCUUAACCACUUCCGAUACGACUCUGUCGUGCAACCCCUCAAGUGUGAACCUCGAGGGUGGUUCCUCUUACAUUCACCUUGAUGAUUACAUCGAGUGGAAUUCAUCGGGGGUGAUUCCUCGGGUUUUCCCCUUGAUGUUUGGACACACGGAUACUUGGACUUUACAACUAUUACUUGGAAAGGCGGGUCAACCCUGAGGGGUACCCGCGAGUGAUGUGGAGACGGGUUGACCUGGAGGGUGCCCGCGAGAUAAUUACAAAGCGUGGCCGGACAUUCCUAGCCCUUGCCGCAAGUCCUCGAGAUGGGGCGACGGGGUCACAUCUUUCGUGAGUCUCUGCUUGUUACCGCGCGUUCCUAAUCCACUAUGAUUUGGAUAUUUGAUCCGAGGGGCCUCUGGCCUGAUAGCACUAACCAUCACAUGGGCAUAGUAUGGGUGUUCUGCGUCGUAUGCAGACGUCAGCGACUGAGCGGCGUGCGUCGGGUUGGAUGUUGGGGAACGUAGCAGAAAUUCAAAAUUUUCUACGCAUCACCAAGAUCAAUCUAUGGAGUACUCUAGCAACAAGGGGAAGGGGAGUGGAUCUACAUACCCUUGUAGAUCGCGAUGCGGAAGCGUUGCAAGAACACGGAUGAGGGAGUCGUACUCGUAGCGAUUCAGAUCGCGGUUGAUUCCGAUCUAAGCACCGAAGAACGGUGCCUCCGCGUUCAACACACGUGCAGCCCGGUGACGUCUCCCACGCCUUGAUCCAGCAAGGAGAGAGGGAGAGGUUGGGGAAGACUUCAUCCAGCAGCAACACGAUGGCGUGGUGGUGAUGGAGGAGCGUGGCAAUCCCGCAGGGCUUCGCCAAGCACCGCGGGAGAGGAGGAGGAGGGAGAGGGGUAGGGCUGCGUCGAAAGAGAGACGUUCUCAUAUGUCUUGGGCAGCCCAAACCUCAACUAUAUAUAGGGGGGAGGGGGCUGCGCCCCCCUGUAGGGUUCCCACCCCAAGAGGAGGCGGCCAGCCCUAGAUCCCAUCAAGGGGGGCGGCCAAGGGGAGGAGAGGGGGGGGCGCCCCACUAGAUGGGCCCUAAGGCCCAUCUGGACCUAGGGUUUGCCCCCUCCCACUCUCCCAUGCGCCUUGGGCCUUGGUGGGGGGGCGCACCAGCCCACUUGGGGCUGGUCCCCUCCCACACUUGGCCCACGCAGCCUUCUGGGGCUGGUGGCCCCACUUGGUGGACCCCCGGGACCCUCCAGGUGGUCCCGGUACAUUACUGAUAUCACCCGAAACAUUUCCGGUGACCAAAACAGGACUUCCCAUAUAUAAAUCUUUACCUCCGGACCAUUCCGGAACUCCUCGUGACGUCCGGGAUCUCAUCCGGGACUCCGAACAACAUUCGGUAACCACGUACAAACUUUCCCUAUAACCCUAGCGUCAUCGAACCUUAAGUGUGUAGACCCUACGGGUUCGGGAACCAUGUAGACAUGACCGAGACGUUCUCCGGUCAAUAACCAACAGCGGGAUCUGGAUACCCAUGUUGGCUCCCACAUGUUCCACGAUGAUCUCAUCGGAUGAACCACGAUGUCGGGGAUUCAAUCAAUCCCGUAUUCAAUUCCCUUUGUCUAUCGGUAUGUUACUUGCCCGAGAUUCGAUCGUCGGUAUCCCGAUACCUUGUUCAAUCUCGUUACCGGCAAGUCUCUUUACUCGAUCCGUAACUCACAUCAUCCCGUGAUCAACUCCUUGGUCACAUUGUGCACAUUAUGAUGAUGUCCUACCGAGUGGGCCCAGAGAUACCUCUCCGUUUACACGGAGUGACAAAUCCCAGUCUCGAUUCGUGCCAACCCAACAGACACUUUCGGAGAUACCUGUAGUGCACCUUUAUAGCCACCCAGUUACGUUGUGACGUUUGGUACACCCAAAGCAUUCCUACGGUAUCCGGGAGUUGCACAAUCUCAUGGUCUAAGGAACUGAUACUUGACAUUAGAAAAGCUCUGAGCAAACGAACUACACGAUCUUGUGCUAGGCUUAGGAUUGGGUCUUGUCCAUCACAUCAUUCUCCUAAUGAUGUGAUCCCGUUAUCAACGACAUCCAAUGUCCAUGGUCAGGAAACCGUAACCAUCUAUUGAUCAACGAGCUAGUCAACUAGAGGCUUACUAGGGACAUGGUGUUGUCUAUGUCUCCACACAUGUAUCUGAGUUUCCUAUCAAUACAAUUCUAGCAUGGAUAAUAAAAGAUUAUCAUGAACAAGGAAAUAUAAUAAUAACCUAUUUAUUAUUGCCUCUAGGGCAUAUUUCCAGCAGUCUCCCACUUGCACUAGAGUCAAUAAUCUAGUCCACAUCACCAUGUGAUUAACACUCACAGGUCACAUCACCAUGUGACCAACAUCAAAGAGUUUACUAGAGUCAGCAAUCUAGUUCACAUCACUAUGUGAUUAACACUCAAUGAGUUCUGGUUUGAUCAUGUUAUACUUGUGAGAGAGGUUAUUAGUCAACGGGUCUGAACCAUUCAGAUCCGUGUGUGCUUUACGAAUAUCUAUGUCAUCUUGUGGAUGCUACCACGCGCUACUUGGAGCCAUUUCAAGUAUCUGCUCUACUAUACGAAUCCGGUUUACUACUCAGAGUCAUCCGGAUUAGUGUCAAAGUUCGCAUUGACGUAACCCUUUACGACGAACUCCUUUUCACCUCCAUAAUCGAGAAAAUUCCUUAGUCCACUAGGUACUAAGGAUAAGUUCGACCGCUGUCAUGUGAUCCAUUCCCGGAUCACUAUUGUACCCCUUGACCAACUCAUGGCUAGGCACACUUCAUGUGCGGUACACAGCAUAGCAUACUGUAGAGCCUAUGUCUAAAACAUAGGGGACGACCUUCGUCCUUUCUCUCUCUUCUGCUGUGGUCAGGUCUUGAGUCUUACUCAAUACUCACACCUUGUAACACAGCCAAGAACUCCUUCUUUGCUGAUCUAUUUUGAACUCUUUCAAAAUCAUGUCAAGGUGUGCGUUCUUUGAAAGUAUCAUCAGGCGUCUUGAUCUAUCUCUAUAGAUCUUGAUGCCCAAUAUGUAAGCAGCAUUAUCCAGGUCUUCCUUUGAAAAACUCCUUUCAAACAACCCUUUAUGCUUUCUAGAAAUUUCACAUCAUUUCGGAUCAACAAUAUGUCAUUCACAUAUACUUAUCAGAAAUGUUGUAGCGCUCCCACUCACUUUAUUGUAAAUACAAGUUUCUCAUAAACUUUGUAUAAACCCAAAAUCUUUGAUCAUCUCAUCAAAGCGUACAUUCCAACUCCGAGAUGCUUACUCCAGUCCUUAGAAGGAUCGCUGGAGCUAGCAUACCUUUUAGCAUCCUCAGGACCAACAAAACUUUUCUGAUUGUAUCACAUACAACCUUUCCUUACGAAAACUGGUAAGGAAACUUGUUUUGACAUCCAUCUGCCAGAUUUCAUAAAUGCAGCUAAUGCUAACAUGAUUCCGACGGACUUAAGCAUCGCUACGGAUGGGAAAAUCUCAUCGUAGUCAACUCCUUGAACUUGUGGAAAUACUCUUUGCCACAAGUCGAGCUUCAUAGACGGUAACAUUACCGUCCACGUCCGUCUUCUUCUCAAAGUUCCAUUUAUCUCGGAUUUCAUGGCUUCUAACCAUUUGUCGGAAUAUGGGCCCACCAUCGCUUCUCCAUAGCUCGUAGAUUCAUCGUUGUCCAACAACAUGACUUCCAAGACAGGAUUACGCAUUACUCUGAAGUAGUACGCAUCCUCGUCGUCCUACGAGGUUUGGUAGUGACUUGAUCCGAAGUUUCAUGAUCACUAUCAUAAGCUUCCACUUCAAUUGGUGUAGGUGCCACAGGAACAACUUCCUGUGCCCUGCUACACACUAGUUGAAGUGACGGUUCAAUAACCUUAUCAAGUCUCCACCAUCCUCCCACUCAAUUCUUUCGAGAGAAACUUUUCCUCGAGAAAGGACCCGUUUCUAGAAGCAAUUACUUUUGCUUCCAGAUCUGAAAUAGGAGGUAUACCCAACUAUUUUGGGUUUUCUAUGAAGAUGCAUUUAUCCGCUUUAGGUUCGAGCUUAUCAGCCUGAAACUUUUUCACAUAAGCGUCGCAGCCCCAAACUUUUAAGAAAUGACAACUUAGGUUUCUCUAAACGGUGUCGUCUCAACGGAAUUGCGUGGUGCCCCUUUUAAAGUGAAUGCGGUUAUCUCUAAUGCCUAACCCAUAAACGAUAGUGGUAAUUCGAUAAGAGACAUCAUGGUAUGCACCAUAUCCAAUAGGGUGCAGUUAUGAUGUUCGGACACACCAUCACACUAUGGUGUUCCAGGCGGUAUUAAUUGUGAAACACUUUCCACAAUGUCUUAAUUGUGUGCUAAACUCGUAACUCAGAUAUCUCUAUGAUCAUAUCAUAGACAUUUUAUCCUCUUGUCACGACGAUCUUCAACUUCACUCUGAAAUUACUUGAACCUUUCAAUAAUUCAGACUUGUGUUUCAUCAAGUAAAUAUUCUCAGCAUCUACUCAAAUCAUCUGUGAAGUAAGAACAUAACGAUAUCCACUGCAUGCCUCAGCAUUCAUUGGACUGCAUACAUCAAAAUGUAUUACUUCCAAUAAGUUGCUCUCUUGUUCCAUCUUACUGAAAACGAGGCCUUUCAGUCAUCUUGCCCAUGUGGUAUGAUUUGCAUGUCUCAAGUGAUUCAAAAUCAAGUGAGUCCAAACGAUCCAUCUGCAUGGAGUUUCUUCAUGCAUAUAUACCAAUAGACAUGGUUCGCAUGUCUCAAUCUUUUCAACAAACGAGUGAGUCCAAAGAUCCAUCUACAUGGAGCUUCUUCAUGCGUUCUACACUAAUAUGACUCAAAUGGCAGUGCCACAAGUAUGUGGUACUAUCAUUACUAUUUUAUAUCUUUUGGCACGAACAUGUGUAUCACUGCGAUCGAGAUUCAUUUUAGGUGCAAGACCAUUGAAGGUAUUAUUCAAAUAAACAGAGUAACCAUUAUUCUCCUUAAAUGAAUAACCGUAUUGCGAUAAACAUAAUCCAAUGAUGCUCAACGCAAACACCAAAUCUCGAUGGCAGAGGGAGCAUGCGAUGCUUGAUCACAUCAACCUUGGAAACACUUCCAACACAUAUCGUCAUCUCACCUUUAGCUAGUCUCCGUUUGUUCCGUAGCUUUUAUUUCGAGUUACUAACACUUAGCAACCGAACCGGUAUCUAAUACCCUGGUGCUGCUAGGAGUACUAGUAAAGUACACAUUCAUAUAAUGUAUAUCCAAUAUACUUCUGUCGACCUUGUCUGCCUUCUCAUCUACCAAGUAUCUAGGGUAGUUCCGCUUAGCCACCGUUCCCCUUAUUACAGAAGCACUUAGUCUCGGGUUUGGGUUCAACCUUGGGUUUCUUCACUAGAGCAGCAACUGAUUUGCCGUUUAAUGAAGUAUCCCUUCUUGCCCUUGCCCUUCUAGAAACUAGUGGUUUUACUAACCAUCAACAAUUGAUGCUCCUUCUUGAUUUCUACUCUCGCGGUGUCAAACGUCGCGAAUAGCUCAAGGAUCAUCAUAACUAUCCCUGAUAUGUUAUAGUUCAUCACGAAGCUCUACUAGCUUGGUGGCAGUGACUAUGGAGAACUAUCACUAUCUCAUCUGGGAGAUUAACUCCCACUCGAUUCAAGCGAUUGUGGUACUCAGACAAUCUGAGCACAUGCUCAACGAUUGAGCUUUUCUCCCUUAGUUUGCAGGCUUAAGAAACUUGUCAGAGGUCUCAUACCUCUUGACGUGGGCACUAGUCUGAAAUCCCAAUUUCAGUCUUUGGAACAUCUCAUAUGUUCUGCGACGUUUCAAAAACCGUCUUUGGUGCCACAAUUCUAAACCGUUAGCAUUACGCACUGAACUAUCACGUAGUUAUCAAAACGUGUAUGUCAGAUGUUCCGCAACAUCUACAGACGACGCUGAGGUUCAGCACACCGAGCGGUGCAUUAAGGACAUAAGCCUUCCGUGCAGCAAUGAGGACAAUCCUCGGUUUACGGACCCAGUCCGCAUAAUUGCUACUACCAACUUUCAACUAAAUUUUUCUCUAGGAACAUAUCUUAAACAGUAGAACUAAAGCGUAUGACAUAAUUUGCAAAGAUCUUUUGACUAUGUUCAUGAUAAUUGAGUUCAUCUGAUUAAUGAACUCCCACUCAGAUAGACAUCCCUCUAGUCAUCUAAGUGAUACAUGAUCCGAGUCAAACUAGGCCGUGUCCGAUCAUCACGUGAGACGGACUAGUCAUCAUCGAUGAACAUCUCCAUGUUGAUCGUAUCUGCUAUACGACUCAUGUUCGACCUUUCGGUCUCUUGUGUUCCGAGGCCAUGUCUGUACAUGCUAGGCUCGUCAAGUCAACCUAAGUGUUUUGCAUGUGUUCCGAGGCCAUGUCUGUACAUGCUAGGCUCGUCAACACCCGUUGUAUUCGAACGUUAGAAUCUAUCACACCCGAUCAUCACGUGGUGCUUCGAAACAACGAACCUUCGCAACGGUGCACAGUUAGGGGGAACACUUUCUUGAAAUUAUUAUAAGGGAUCAUCUUACUUACUACCGUCGUUCUAAGCAAAUAAGAUGCAUAACAUGAUAAACAUCACAUGCAAUCAAAUAGUGACAUGAUAUGGCCAAUAUCAUUUUGCUCCUUUGAUCUCCAUCUUCGGGGCACCAUGAUCAUCUUUGUCACCGGCAUGACACCAUGAUCUCCAUCAUCAUGAUCUCCAUCAUUGUGUCUUCAUGAAGUUGUCACGCCAACGAUUACUUCUACUUCUAUGGCUAACACGCUUAGCAAUAAAGUAAAGUAAUUUACAUGGCGUUAUUCAAUGACACGCAGGUCAUACAAAAAAUAAAGACAACUCCUAUGGCUCCUGCCGGUUGUCAUACUCAUCGACAUGCAAGUCGUGAUUCCUAUUACAAGAAUAUGAUCAAUCUCAUACAUCACACAUAUCAUUCAUCACAUCUUCUGGCCAUAUCACAUCACAUAGCACAUGCUGCAAAAACAAGUUAGACGUCCUCUAAUUGUUGUUGCAAGUUUUUACGUGGCUUGUAUGGGUUUCUAGCAAGAACGUUUCUUACCUACGUAAAACCACAACGUGAUAUGCCAAUUUCUAUUUACCCUUAAUAAGGACCCUUUUCAUCGAAUCCAUUCCGACUAAAGUGGGAGAGACAGACACCCGCUAUCCACCUUAUGCAACUAGUGCAUGUCAGUCGGUGGAACCUGUCUCACGUAAGCGUACGUGUAAGGUCGGUCCGGGCCGCUUCAUCCCACAAUACCGCCAAAACAAGAUAAGUUUAGUAGCGGCAAGAAGAAUUGGCAACAUCGACGCCCACAACUACUUUGUGUUCUACUCGUGCAUAGAAACUACGCAUAGACCUAGCUCUGAUACCACUGUUGGGGAACGAAGCAGAAAUUCAAAAUUUUCUACUCAUCACCAAGAUCAAUCUAUGGAGUACUCUAGCAACGAGGGGAAGGGGAGUGGAUCUACAUACCCUUGUAGAUCGCGAUGCGGAAUCGUUGCAAGAACACGGAUGAGGGAGUCGUACUCGUAGCGAUUCAGAUCGCGGUUGAUUCCGAUCUAAGCACCGAAGAACGGUGCCUCCGCGUUCAACACACGUGCAGCCCGGUGACGUCUCCCACGCCUUGAUCCAGCAAGGAGAGAGGGAGAGGUUGGGGAAGACUUCAUCCAGCAGCAACACGACGGCGUGGUGGUGAUGGAGGAGCAUGGCAAUCCCGCAGGGCUUCGCCAAGCACCGCGGGAGAGGAGGAGGAGGGAGAGGGGUAGGGCUGCGCCGAAAGAGAGACGUUCUCAUGUGUCUUGGGCAACCCAAACCUCAACUAUAUAUAGGGGAGGGGGCUGCGCCCCCCUGUAGGGUUCCCACCCCAAGAGGAGGCGGCCAGCCCUAGAUCCCAUCAAGGGGGGCGGCCAAGGGGAGGAGAGGGGGGGCGCCCCACUAGAUGGGCCCUAAGGCCCAUCUGGACCUAGGGUUUGCCCCCUCCCACUCUCCCAUGCGCCUUGGGCCUUGGUGGGGGGGCGCACCAGCCCACUUGGGGCUGGUCCCCUCCCACACUUGGCCCACGCAGCCUUCUGGGGCUAGUGGCCCCACUUGGUGGACCCCCGGGACCCUCCCGGUGGUCCCGGUACAUUACCGAUAUCACCCGAAACUUUUCCGGUGACCAAAACAGGACUUCCCAUAUAUAAAUCUUUACCUCCGGACCAUUCCGGAACUCCUCGUGACGUCUGGGAUCUCAUCCGGGACUCCGAACAACAUUCGGUAACCACGUACAAACUUUCCCUAUAACCCUAGCGUCAUCGAACCUUAAGUGUGUAGACCCUACGGGUUCGGGAACCAUGCAGACAUGACCGAGACGUUCUCCGGUCAAUAACCAACAGCGGGAUCUGGAUACCCAUGUUGGCUCCCACAUGUUCCACGAUGAUCUCAUCGGAUGAACCACGAUGUCGGGGAUUCAAUCAAUCCCGUAUUCAAUUCCCUUUGUCUAUCGGUAUGUUACUUGCCCGAGAUUCGAUCGUCGCUAUCCCGAUACCUUGUUCAAUCUCGUUACCGGCAAGUCUCUUUACUCGUUCCGUACCUCACAUCAUCCCGUGAUCAACUCCUUGGUCACAUUGUGCACAUUAUGAUGAUGUCCUACCGAGUGGGCCCAGAGAUACCUCUCCGUUUACACGGAGUGACAAAUCCCAGUCUCGAUUCGUGCCAACCCAACAGACACUUUCGGAGAUACCUGUAGUGCACCUUUAUAGCCACCCAGUUACGUUGUGACGUUUGGUACACCCAAAGCAUUCCUACGGUAUCCGGGAGUUGCACAAUCUCAUGGUCUAAGGAACUGAUACUUGACAUUAGAAAAGCUCUGAGCAAACGAACUACACGAUCUUGUGCUAGGCUUAGGAUUGGGUCUUGUCCAUCACAUCAUUCUCCUAAUGAUGUGAUCCCGUUAUCAACGACAUCCAAUGUCCAUGGUCAGGAAACCGUAACCAUCUAUUGAUCAACGAGCUAGUCAACUAGAGGCUUACUAGGGACAUGGUGUUGUCUAUGUCUCCACACAUGUAUCUGAGUUUCCUAUCAAUACAAUUCUAGCAUGGAUAAUAAACGAUUAUCAUGAACAAGGAAAUAUAAUAAUAACCUAUUUAUUAUUGCCUCUAGGGCAUAUUUCCAACAUUGGACUGGUAAGCUCCUGCCUUUUUUAAGGAGGUAGCUAGGUCUGCUCACCGGCCGCCCACGCAACAUGCAGGAGUUCCCGGGGCGAUGGCCCAUGACCCCUGGGGGCAUAGGUUUAGUCCGGCGUGCUUGACCUCUCUAUUAAGCCUAGGUCGGGUUGCGGCGUAUUGUUUGGCCGAGGCCGGGCAUGACCCAGGAAAGUGUGUCCGGCCGGAGUUAAUUGAGCGUGGUGGGUAAGUUGGUGCACCCCUGCAGGGAAGAAAACAUCUAUCGAUAGCCUGUCCUACGGUAACGGACACUUGGAGUUGUAUCCCAAUUGAUACAACUAGAACUGGAUACUUGAGAUGAGACAUGGAUAUGAGAAAUGGAUUGUGAUGAGAAUUGGAUAGUAUGGCUCUGGGAUUGCUUUCUCGCAGGGAGUCGAGAAAGGAUCUCUGGCCGAGGUUGAUAACACUACUACUACUUUACUUUAUGCUACUCUACUCCCUCCUGCUGCUGCAAGAUGGUGGUUUCCAGAAGAUGCUAGUCUUCGAUAGGCCAGGCUUUCCCCUUCUCUUCUGGCAUUCUCCAGUCCAGUCCACAUAUACAGCCCAUUUCAUUGAUACCGAUGCAUAUGUUGUGUAGAUCCUUGCUUGCGAGUACUUUGGAUGAGUACUCACGGUUGCUUUGCUCCCCCUUUUCCCCCUUUCUUCUUCUUUCCGGUUGAUGCAACCAGAUGUCGGAGCCCAGGAGCCAGAUGCCACCGUUGAUGCCUACUACUACGUGAAGACAACCGACGACCAGGAGUAGUUAGGAGGCUCCCAGGCAGGAGGCCUUGCCUUUUCGAUCGUAGAUGAUUUUGUGCUAGCCUUCUUAAGGCAAACUUGUCUAACUUAUGUUUGUACUCAGAUAUUGUUGCUUCCGCUGACUCUUGUGUUUUCGAGCUUAUGUAUUCGAGCCCUUGAGGGCCAUGGCUUGUAACAUAAAGCUGGUAUUAUUUUAGUUUGUGUCUAGAGUUGUGUUGUGAUAUCUUCCCGUGAGUCCUUGAUCUUGAUCGUACACAUUUGCGUGUAUGAUUAGUGUACGAUUGAAUCAAGGGCGUCACAAUUUAGAACCAACAAAAAAGAUUCAAAUAAUAAGUACAACAAAGAUGCCUACACAUCUCAUUGAUUCCCAGCUUGCAAGAUUCAGAACCAACCCAUUAGAGCCUUUUGAUAAAGUGAAUAUCGGGAUUAAAUCCAUCUUGGCUAGCCAUGUCAUACAAUCAAAGAACUUGGCGAAUGCUCUUGACCGUCACAACAUCUAUAGUUGAGUAUUCCUGUUUGCACACCACAAACCAGGAGAGCAUGAUUUCACUUUAAUAAUGGCCUCCUUUACUCAACCUGCAGCUCCACUAGGAUGAGGCCUGCAUGGAGUUCCAUGAUUCAAUUCAUGCGCCUUUUUCUGCAGUUCACCUGAAAUGAAGCAAAGAUUGCAUCAUUCAGCUAGCAAGAAGUACUUGCUCUCGUGAGCUGGCAGGUUCUUCUUUAGUAGUUGCACUAAAAUUGAGGAACAUUAAGGUUGGCUGUCCGGCUCAUGUAAGGUGCAACUAUAAUUUUCUUAUCCUUUUGUGCAGUUCCACUAAAAUAAAGUGCCAUUAUGGUGACAGUGACGACUCAUCUUGCAAAGGCUAAUAAAAUGUUGCACGGAUUACCAGCAGAAUUUGACGGAGAUUUUGGAAACUCCAAUCACCAUUUUGUGCAGUUCCACCAAAAUUGAGAGAUGUUGCCCACGUGACAUUUUAGUUGAACUGCACAAGACACUCAUUCCAAAAAAAGUGUUUUGUGCAGUUCACCAAAAGGUCACAAUAGCAACAAGGUGAAAUGGAUAUCCCUAUCUGCACAAAAAGAUAGAAAGUAAACAGUUGCUGGUCAAUAAGAAUAUACGAAACAUAUACGAAAUGAAAAUAAGCAUCUUAAUUAUGUUCAUGGCAAUCACGCAAGGACAGUAGAAAUUUUAAAACGUCAGCAAUGCUUCAUGUUACCAGAAGCAUUACGAUCAACAAUGAGAUUCCUCAAAUAUGGGAUUACUUUAAUGGUGGCAUUGCUUGUUUACCAGAUACAGUAAAUCAACAGCAGCUAAAGAGUUGGUUUAAGGGCAUGGGACCAUGGGAACACCAGGACACUGAGCAGCGUAAAGGAGCAACUUACUUAUCAUACUGGGGAAAACAGCAGGAGUGCCAUUUGUAACUCGGUUUAAUUGCAUCUUAUCACUGGAGGUAUUAGAUUAACAAUAACACUGGUUAGACAUGUCCCUAAGGUAACAAUGUGAUUGCUUCAUUUUACAUGUGCCCUUACAUUAACAACAGCAAAAGGUUGGUAUAAGGACAUGCGACAGUGGACGCAUCAGCACAAUGUACCUACAAGGAGGCAUAAAGUGGUGAUGCAGAGUUUGUUCAUGCUAUGUGAGGGCAGCAAAUCUAAUCCUGGAGACUGAUACGUCUCCAACGUAUCUAUAAUUUUUUAUUGUUCCAUGCUAUAUUAUAUUCUGUUUUGGACAUUAUUGAGCUUUAUUAUACACUUUUAUAUUAUUUUUGGGACUAACCUAUUAACCGGAGGCCCAGCCCAGAAUUGCUGUUUUUUGCCUAUUUCAGAGUUUCGCAGAAAAAGAAUAUCAAACGGAGUCCAAACGGAAUGAAACCUUCGGGAACGUGAUUUUCGGAACGAACGUGAUCCAGAGGACUUGGACCCUACGUCAAGACAUCAACCAGGAGGGCACGAGGUAGGGAGGCGCGCCUACCCCCCCAGGGCGCGCCCUCCACCCUCGUGGGCCCCCUGUUGCUCCACCGACGUACUCCUUCCUCCUAUAUAUACCUACGUACCCCCAAACUACCAGAUACGGAGCCAAAAACCUAAUUCCACCGCCACAACCUUCUGUACCCGUGAGAUCCCAUCUUGGGGCCUGUUCCGGAGCUUCGCCGGAGGGGGCAUCGAUCACGAAGGGCUUCUACAUCAACACCAUAGCCUCUCCGAUGAUGUGUGAGUAGUUUACCUCAGACCUUCGGGUCCAUAGUUAUUAGCGAGAUGUCUUCUUCUCUCUUUUUGGAUCUCAAUACAAUGUUCUCCCCCUCUCUCAUGGAGAUCUAUUCGAUGUAAUCUUCUUUUGCGGUGUGUUUGUUGAGAUCGAUGAAUUGUGGGUUUAUGAUCAAGUUUAUCUAUGAACAAUAUUUGAAUCUUCUCUGAAUUCUUUUAUGUAUGAUUUUUUAUCUUUGCAAGUCUCUUCGAAUUAUCAGUUUGGUUUGGCCUACUAGAUUGAUCUUUAUUGCAAUGGGAGAAGUGCUUAGCUUUGGGUUCAAUCUUGCGGUGUCCUUUCCCAGUGACAGUAGGGGCAGCAAGGCAUGUAUUGUAUUGUUGCCAUCGAGGAUAACAAGAUGGGGUUUAUAUCAUAUUGCAUGAGUUUAUCCCUCUACAUCAUGUCAUCUUACUUAAAGCGUCACUCUGUUCUUAUGAACUUAAUACUCUAGAUGCAUGCUGGAUAGCAGUCGAUGUGUGGAGUAAUAGUAGUAGAUGCAGGCAGGAGUCGGUCUACUUGUCUCGGACGUGAUGCCUAUAUACAUGAUCAUACCUAGAUAUUCUCAUAACUAUGCUCAAUUCUAUCAAUUGCUCAACAGUAAUUUGUUCACCCACCGUAAUACUUAUGCUCUUGCGAGAAGCCACUAGUGAAAUCUAUGGCCCCCAGGUCUAUUUUCCAUCAUAUUAAUCUCCCAACAACAAGCUAUAUCUAGCACCGUUUUUAUUUUGUUUUCUUUACUUUGCAUCUUUAUCAUAAAAAUACCAAAAAUAUUAUCUUAUCAUAUCUAUCAGAUCUCACUCUCGUAAGUGACCGUGAAGGGAUUGACAACCCCUUUAUUGUGUUGGUUGCGAGGAUUUAUUUGUUUGUGUAGGUGCGAGGGACUCGUGUGUGGCCUCCUACUGGAUUGAUACCUUGCUUCUCAAAAACUGAGGGAAAUACUUACGCUACUUUGCUGCAUCACCCUUUCCUCUUCAAGGGAAAACCAACGCAGUGCUCAAGAGGUAGCAGAGACCUUUUACUAUGUGAGGGCAGCAAACCUAAUCCUGGAGACCUUGUACUAUGUGAGGGCAGCAAAUCUAAUCUUGGAGAGCUUUUACUAUGUGAGGGCAGCAAAUCUAAUCCUGGAGACCUUUUACUAUGUGAGGGCACUAAAUCUAAUCCUGAGACCUUUUACUAUGUGAGGGCAGCAAUUCUAAUCCUGGAGACCUUUUACUAUGUGAGGGCAACAAAUCUAAUCCUGGACAUACUCUGUUGACUUGUCCACCAGCCACCACUUUCUAUCCUUUUUUCAACCAAUAAUAGAUCUGUUCCUUAUCCAGUUUGUACUGCGUUUUCCCAUUAUUUCCCUUUUCAACCAAGAGACCGGUUGGGUAUCCGGUCUCUACUACUUUCACCAUAUUAUUUCCUCUUUGAAUCAAGUCCUAGAUUCAUGCUACAACUUUCCCCCCUUUAUUCGUUGUUUGAACAAAGCCCUAGAUUCAAAUGCAUGAAGUAGCUUUACCUCUAAUAAUACUAAAAAUUUAGGUGGCUUUGGAAGAGCUGAUGGGAGUAGAAAAAGAUGCACAUGCAGACACGUGGGGAGCUGGGGCAGUAAAGCAAGGCCGCUUUCAAAGAACUUAUACCUGAGGGUCGUCGGGAUGUCGGCGGCGGCAGGUUGGAUCUGCGGACAAUACGACAGGGAGGAAGAAGGGUCGGAGGACCUCCCGAGCCGGCGCUGUGUCGGAGAGAACGACACGGGCAGAGUAUCGGGCCCGUCCGGCAGUUGUGGGUUUCCUCCCUCGCCGGCGAUGACUGCGUGAACGAUGCACCUAGUCCUCUACACACACACCAGCCGAAGGGAUUCGGCCAGAUCUAUGACCAGCGGUGAGCAGAGAGAAAAUGUCACUACCGCUGUCUUGUUUAUAUCUGGAGAGGAUGAGAGAAUGAAGAGAGCAACCCUAGUAAAGCAAGCGCUCAGGCCCCUGCGUACAUAUACAGUGGAGUGAUUAUCUUUUUCUCUCCACAACAAGCGUUUCAAUUUGUGUACGUGGCACUAAAGAAAAGAAACACUCUAUUUAAGGUGACUACCUGUACGACUCCUACUUACUACUACUAGUAGUAGUAUUUUUCACUUGUGCUCCCCGGCCCUCCAUUCAUUGAACAACCCCACGGGUGAAUAAACAUACAGUACUAGUAUUUAUAUAGAACGAACAAGCUCGAACUAUUUUUGCGUAGUUAAAAGUUGAGGGCGGGGCUUUUCCCGGGCAGUACGCACGGCAGUUUUCGCAUAGGCGGUUUGACAGAGAGGCGAGGAGGGUGAGGGAGUAGCGGAUUCAACUUACUUACUGCUGGAAAGGUCGAGCUGUGCGAUUUGAACUCAACUAACCCAAAAAUAUCCAAACAUGAGGGUUAGUUUGAACUCAACUAACCCAAAAAUAUCCAAACAGGAGGGUUAGUUUGGGUUACUGUUUGGAUCCACGUGUUAGAGUUAGUUUGGGUUAGUUUGAACUCAACUAACCCAAAAAAAAAA
rnacentral:lncRNA from 1 species